AGACCCCGUACCUAGAAUAUCUCCUCCGAGGAGAGCUGCCCCUCAACAAGGCCGAAGCUCGGCGACUGGCUCGGCUCGCCAAGUCGUUCGUUUUACUGGGUGAUGAAAAGGAGUUGUACCACCGUAGUCCCUCAGGCAUUCUCCAACGAUGCAUAUCCGUCGCCCAAGGACAAGAGCUGUUACAAGAAAUACACUUGGGGGCUUGCGGUCACCAUGCAGCACCUCGGGCCCUCGUGGGAAACGCUUUCCGACAAGGUUUCUAUUGGCCGACCGCGGUGGCCGACGCUACAAGGAUUGUACGCUCCUGCCGAGGAUGCCAAUUCUACGCGAGACAGACGCACCUGCCCGCUCAGACCCUGCAAACAAUACCUAUCACUUGGUCGUUUGCCGUAUGGGGUCUGGACCUCAUCGACCCCUUACAGAAGGCACCCGGGGCUUCACGCACCUGUUAGUCGCCAUCGACAAAUUCUCCAAGUGGAUCGAGGUCCGACCCUUAACCAGCAUCGGGUCCGAGCAAGCGGUGGUGUUCUUUACAAAUAUUAUCCAUCGCUUUGGGGUCCCAAACUCCAUCAUCACUGACAAUCGCACGCAGUUCACUGGGAAAAAGUUCCUGGACUUCUGCGAAGACCACCACAUCCGUGUGGACUGGGCCGCCAUAGCUCACCCAAUGACAAAUGGGCAGGUGGAGCGCGUCAAUGGCAUGAUUUUGCAGGGACUAAAACCGAGGAUCUACAACAACCUCAACAAGUUUGGCAAGUGGUGGAUAAAAGAGCUACCCUCGGUGGUUUGGAGUCUGAGGACGACGCCGAGCCGGGCCAUGGGCUUCUCGCCGUUUUUCCUAGUCUAUGGGGCCGAGGUCAUCUUACCCACGGACUUGGAAUACGAUUCCCCGAGGACAAAGGCAUACGAUGACCAAAACAACCAGACCAGCCGAGAGGAUUCAUUGGACCAGCUGGAAGAGGCUCGGGACGUAGCCUUACUACACUCGGCGCGGUACCAGCAGUCUCUGCGGCGCUACCACGCCCGAAGGGUGCGACCCCGAGGCUUCCAAGUGGGAGACUUGGUACUUCGGCUGCGACAAGACGCCCGAGGGCGCCACAAGCUUACUCCUCCCUAGGAAGGGCCGUUCAUCAUCGCCAACAUUUUGAAGCCCGGAACAUACAAGCUGGCCAACGAUCGAGGCGAAGUCUACAGCAAUGCUUGGAACAUCCAACAGCUACGUCGCUUCUAUCCUUAAAAUGUUUCAAGUCGUUCAUAUAUCUUGCUUUCUUUACAUGCAUAAAUAAAGUCUAACCAUCAAGGAAGGAUCAGCCUUGCCUCGGCAAAGCCCGACCCUCCCUCGGGGGCUAGAAGGGGGGAACCCCCUCUGCGUCAAAAUUUUCCUCAGAAAAGUUUUCUACCAAAACGACUUUUGUGCUUUUCAACUAUAUCGAUAACGGAAUCCUAAAAACGACGAGAGGAACACUUAAACGGCAAGGCCGACCGAGCCGAGGGACUCCUACGCCACCGGGAUACGAAUACCUCACUCAUCACCUUCCGCGAAAAGUAACUCACACUCGGACAAGUGAUUCUGCUACCGACGAACAAGUCCUAACGCACGAAACGAGAGGAAAGAAAACACAGCUUUAUAAUCCGACAAUAAAAAUGUUUAGGCCUCAGUGGUCGCAAAAAACAUACGCAUACUUAAAACAAACUGUUCCUGCAGGCUCAGACAUCGGCAGGGGGAGGAGCAGCACCCUCAGCGUCGUUUCCACCCUCGGUAGAAUCAGGCCCGGCCUCAGACGGCGACACGGGCGGAAGGAUCUCCACCUCAAUGGAGGAAGCCAGCAUCGCGCUUGGGCCCUCGGCAGCCGUGUCAAGCCUCUGGACCUCGGCUAAGGCGGCCUCCUCUUCGUCGGGUAAGCAGUACCCCUGCUGACCCGCUCCAGAUCCACGUCAUAGUGGGAAGCGAGCACGGCGAAGGCCCGCCUAACGCCGUGGUGCAGCGCCCUGCGGAGUCUGCUACGCACAUGGCCGCCAAAGCUCGCAGGUGACUCUGUGGGGAGCUACCUAAGGGGACGUCGUCGAGGCCAAAGGCCCGACAGAAAGCCGAGAUAGCCUCGGACAUGGCCGUGCGGUCGACCUCCUUCUGCUCUGCCACCCGGGCAAGCGUCUUGCAGUUCUUGACGGGCUCGUUAAGAGCCGUCUCGAACCCUGCAGACAGCCGGACAAUGUUCUUCAGACACGAGGUGAAGAAUGGAGACAGAAACAAAGUCGCAAAGCGGGCAAAACAUACCUUUGGCCCGGGCACGCUGUUGUAAGGCCAUAGCUUGGGCGUGCCUUUCGACUGCGUCGAUAACGGAAUCCUAAAGACGAGCGAGAGAGACCUUGAACGGCAAGGCCGGCCGAGCCGAGGGACUCCUACGCCUCCGGGAUACAGAUACCUCACUCAUCACCUUCCGCGAAAGGUAGCUCACGCUCGGAUAAGUGGUUCUGCUACCGAUGGGCAAGUACUAAUGCUCGAAAUGAGAAAGAAACACGGCUUCAUACUCGAAUACCCAAAUGUUCAAGCCUCAGCAGCCACAAAGAACAAACACACAUACUUGGGGUAACUAUGGUAUCUAGACUUAGACGUCGGUAGUGCCCUCAGCGGUUUUCCCAACCUGCGGCAGAUGUCUUAGUACUUGAAGCAGUUACAUUUUGCUCUCAGGCAGAUACCAUUACAAACGGGACUCAAGCUCCAUCCCCGUAGGAAUGAACUACCUCCACACCAGAGGGGCUGCGAGAUAACAAACUCCAAGCGGCUCGCCAGCGACCACUGCACCAGCAGCGACAACGACCUCCGCCUCGGGCGGCUAGACAGCUGCAGUGAUUGCCUCAGGGCAAACGCUACUGCGAAAAGGCCCUCGCCCAUGUCCACCUACGAGGGACGAGAACCAGCCAUUAAAGCCAAAGAGUCGGAGGUUCGGCCGCAGGUGGCACUGACGGUCUCGUCGGCGGAGGCAACCGCUUCUGCAGGGGGAAGCCUCACCUAUGGCGACCACCACCUUAGCACCGACGACAGCGGCCACCUGCGUGCCAAUGCCACACCGGCGAAUGGCGGCCGCCCCAUUGUGCACCGACAGGUCCUCACUCCCAUCCUCACCACAGGAGCGAGGACGAGACUGUCCCAGAACACGAACACCGCCCUCGCGGCGUACGACGUGUUGUGCGACCCCCGGUGCAGCCGGCGGCGCGGGAAGGACUUGGAUGUGGCCGGCCCACGCACGGCGCGACCGACACCCGUGCGGCGGACGGGCAGCCACGCUCCGCCCCAGAGGUAGGAGGCGGCACCGGAAGCAGCACCAGAGCCGCCUAGGCCGGGGAGCCAGACAUGCGACAGCUGACAGCGCCAAGGACGGCGAACGCCCUUCUCCCCUGAACACUGAGGGAAGGAGCGGGCUGCUGCCCACGCGGAGGCGGGACCCAACUCGGCGCACCCUCCUCCCCAGCACGGAUGAUGAACAUCCUUGAAGCUGAGGGCAUGGGGGAGAACACGACCCGGCUCGCUCUUCCCCACCACGAGGCCUACGGUCAUCAUCCUAGGUGAUCGCCGGCGGGGGACUGCAGCCGGGAUGCAUGAUGAAAAUCCUUGAAGCCGAGCGAUGACUGAAGAGCGCCAACCCCCACGAGGUCGCACUUCUCCAACAGCAGCAAGAAGAAGGCAACACAGGUGCACCCCAUCUGGGGGCUCGGAAGGUGGAAGGGCGCGAUGAAUGAGAGGAGUGCGAAGGCAUGGCUACCGCCCGGGGGAUCGAUCCCUUUUUAAAGGCAGAUCUCCUCACUCGCACCCCCAAGCGUCACGGGCAAAGUCUCCACCGACGUGCUCCAGGGUUCUCACCCUACGACAUGGGGGCUGGGUCCCACAUGUCAUACGAGCUGACCCAAAACGCGCGGAGGGCGGACCGCCGCACACGAAGCACGCAGCUACCCCGCGGGUAAGCACUCCCUCAUCCUCGCCGAAACCAGCGGUCGAAAGGGCGGACCACCACGCAAGAAGCAUGCAACCGCACCACGGUUGUGCACCCUUUCGACUUCGUCGCAUCCGACGAUCCAACAUGGAGGCCCGGGCCCACAUGUCAUGUAACCGGUGCGCCGGUUACUACGUGCAAGGAAACCGCACCACCACUUGCGCCAAUGACGCGUCUUCUCGACUGCAGAACCAGUGCAGUGACUCGAGGAAGCCCUGCGCGUGACCCAACAGUGCCAAUUUAGUGCGACGAUCACGGGUCACUCAGCCGCGGGCCGACAGUAAUUGCAGCAACAGACGUGCGGAAGCAGCGGUCUAAUCACCUACAGGCUCGCAUCCUCUCCUGAAGUGGCAGGGGAGCCCUCUCCCACAGCGUAAAGAUGACACACCCGUGUUCCGUUCCUCGAACGACUCGCGCACGCGCUACAGACACCCCGCGAAUCGCCCGUCCCAUCGCAUUAACUCCUUGGCAGGGCAAGCGACACCUCUGGCAGGCGAAGCGGGCGCCGUUUCACCUCCGUCAUGAUGACCGCGUCAAAAAAGGUGUGCCACAUUAUUUAAAUUCAUAUCCUUUUUCUUUUCCUCUCUCUCUCUUGCCACAGGGAUCAGGAAAGGGGAUACUUCGAAAAAGGAUCCUUCUCAGCGAAGGAAACUGGCCCCGAGCCCUCCUACUGAUCAGGGGUUCGAAGGUUGCGCCCUGCGGGGUCCGGAAACCGCCCCAGAACACUCGGGCUCCGAGCCCUUUACUGAUCAGGGGUUCGAAGGCUAGCCCCUCGGAAGGUUUCGACAGCCGCCUUAGAGCACGCAGAGUCAGGGAUGACCCUGGGUACGUCCGUUACAUGGCCGAGGCUCGGGCUACGCUCCCGAGGUACCCUAGGACAUUUCCGAGACCAGCGGGAACAAUUUGUAAUGGAAUCCCACCGGAGGGAGGCACUGAGCCCUUGGACCCUAUCAAAUGGGUCUGGGUCCAGUAAAUCACCUGCAAGUACUUUUGGAGCGUGCCUCUGGGCCACUAGCCGACCCUUAUCGAACGGGGCUCGGGCGUCCACUCGGAUCACCCGUUAGCAACUCACUGGAAACACCGUGUUUGGUGCCCUCCGAGGGUAACAUGGUGCUUUCCCCCCUUCCUCCUUGCGGAAAGGCGAUGAAGGGGCGUACAAUAAAAGUCGAGACGGUCCUUGAUCGUCCUCUCGCUCCAUGCAGAGGCUCGGGGGCUGCUCUCGCACCAGGCUACGGCCAAACUGUUGACCACGUCAACAAACCAGCUUAAAAACUCGGAGCCUGAUCGUGCACCCGGGCUACGGCCAGGCCGCAUGAGGGAACAACAAGGCUGACCGAGGCAUCGCAAAAAAAUUAAGACCUCAGAGGAGUCAAACCACUCCUCCGAGGCCUCGUGGGCUACACCCGACGGGUGCGCUCGCGCGCACCCAUCAGAACAAAACAUAACCGAGAAAGGCUGGUCCCCUUGCAAGAAAUCCGACAGAACCUCCAAGCGAGUACCUACACUCCCUUCGAGGCUCGGGGGCUACUGUCGGGUACCGUAAUUAGGGGUACCCCCAAUGCUCCUUAACCUGGCUGGAAAACAUCCUCAAAACAGACUGUAAAGACCGGUAAGCGCGGUUCAAAGUCGAAGCCUCAGGGACGCGAUGUCGUCUCGCUCGAGCCUGGCCUCGGGCAAGAACAGUAGUCCCGGAUGGAUUCACGCCUCGCCCGAGGGCCUCCUCAAGCAGUGGGCGCACCCUCGGCUCGCCCGAAGCCAAGUUCGGGCAAACUUUAUCGUGCAGCGACCUCGACCAAAUCGCCUUACCAACCGACCGUAUCACAUGCACAUUUAAUGCGGGGAUCGUCUGAUACCUUAUCCUGACACGCACGCCUCAGUCGGCAAGGUCAAAGUGACCGCACUCACUUCGCCCCUUUACUGACUGUUCUGACAGGAAAACAACGCUAUUCACCCUGUUCCGACUACUGUGCCAACCACCAGGGUAAAACUAACGACAGUAAGUCACGACCUCCCCCGAGUUUAGCCUCGGGCGCAACAGGGAGCUCCGCCUCGCCCGACCCCAGGCCUCGGCCUCAGGAGAAGGUCUCCGCCUCGCCCGACCCCAGGCCUCAGCCUCAGCCUCGACCUCGGGAGAAGGUCUCCACCUCGCCCGACCUCGGGCCUCGGCCUCGGGAGGAGUCUCCGCCUCGCCUGACCUCGGUCUCGGAUCGACUACGCCACUGGGGAUACAUCAUUACCCUACCCCUAGCUAGCUGCCUCAGGCUAUGAAGGAACAAGACUGGUGUCCCAUAUAGAUUACCCCGGUAACAGGUAAUGAUGGUUCCCCGCGUGCGUCCAUGACGUCGAUGGUUCUCAGCUCCCUACGAAAGCAAGGAAACGUCAGCAGGACCCCGGGCCACACCGUCAGCUACGCUUCUACAGGGCUCAAGCACUUCUCCAACGGCCACGUUAGCACAUGUACAGGGCUCAAGCACUUCUCUGACGACCACGUUAGCAUAUGUAUAGGGCUCAAGUACUUCUCUGCUGGCCACGUUAGCAUAUAGCUACACCCCUAUUGUACAACUAGACCAUCUCCUUGUAUCUAUAAAAGGGGAUGUCGAGGGCCUUCCAAAAGGAGGCGAGCAGAGGCAAGCAGAGUGGGAGAAAUGCAGAGGAGGCUAACUCGGACAGCUCACCUCAAGGCCGAACUCUCUCUCUCUCUCUCUCUCUCUCUCGCGACGCUUGUAACCCCUACUACGAGCACCCCGGUGCAAGAUAAUACAAGCCUCAUCCCCCCUCUUGUGUUCCAUCUUGCAUCAACCCAUCUGGGCAGGGACACGCAACGACAAAUUCACUGGUCGGUCGAGGGUCCUCGCGAGUCCGAAAUGCCGACAAUAUGUGAUAAUAGAAGGGGAGUUAUAUAAAUAUGGAGUAUGUUCUCCACUUCUCAAGUGUUUAUCAAGAGCUAAAGGUAUUGAAUUAAUGAAGGAGAUACACGCAGGUCUGUGUGGAUCUCACAUUGGGGCUAGGCCCUUGCUGGGGAAGGUGUUUCAAUAAGGUUUUUACUGGCCGAAGGCAGCUUUGGAUGCAGCAGAGCUAGUCCAAAAAUGUGAAAAUUGUCAAAAAUGUGCAAGAGACCAGAAACAACCUUCAUCUCUCACUCAGCUAAUACAGCCCACCUAGCCGUUGCAAAGAUGGGGUCUUGAUUUGCUAGGCCCACUUCCACCAGCACAAGGCAAUUUAAGAUAUGUUGUGGUGGCUGUAGAAUAUUUUCUAAGUGGAUUGAAGCGAAUCCUUUGGCCAUAAUAACUUCGGUAACAGUCCACAAAUUCUUCUAGCAAAACAUUGUUUGUCGCUUCGGCGUGUCGAAGGCUAUAACUGUGGACAAUGGAACACAGUUUGAUGUCGAAGCUUUCAAGGAAUUCUAUGAUCAGAUUGGCACGAAGGUUCAUUUUGCAUCAGUCAGACAUCCAGAGUCAAAUGGACUUGUCGAAAGAGCAAAUGACAUUAUAAUGACGGGAAUAAUGAAGCUAAUCUUCAAUCAGCCCAGAGGAAAGUGGCCAGAUGAGUUGAUUAAAGUGGUGUGGAGCCACAAUACAACCAUAUCAAGAUCAACAGGAUUUACGCCAUUCAAGUUAUUAUUUGGUGAUGAAGCUAUAACUCCAGAAGAAGCUAAAGUGGGGUCAAUAAGAACAACAGCUUCGGCAGAAGACGAAGCUGAUUAUCACGUGGCAAAAGACACUAUAGAAGGGACCAGACUUUAGGCUAUGGAAAAUAUCAAUAAAUAUCAAGCCGAAACAAUAAAAUGGCGCGAUAGAAAAGUGCGGUUGAAAAAUAUCAAGCCAGGGCAUUUGGUACUUCGGAGAGUGGCUAAUCCGGACAUAGUAGGCAAACUACAACGGAUGUGGGAAGGACCUUUUCUGGUGGUAUCUUCGUCAAGGCCCGGUUCUUACAGGUUGAAGGACAUGGACGACAACGACAUUCCUAGAUCUUGGAAUGCGGAUGAGCUCCGACGAUAUUAUGUGUAGUUUGAUGUAAUCUUUUUUCAUUUUUUCCUAUGGCACACUUUUCCAUUCAAAAGGGGGAGAAAGGUUUUUAAUGGGGCCAUAGCCUGUAAUUUUUCUUUUCUUAUUCAGCUCUACGAGAGCAAAAUCCCCCAAAAGAAUGUAAAAUGUAACAUCUGAGCACGCACCAUCGAGUGGAGAGGAAAAAAACUAGGGAGAAGCUCAAAAGUCGUCCCUAAGGGGAUGCAGAGCACGACGAAGCUACAAAAAGUCGUUCCUAAGGGAGCGCAGCAUAAGUUUUCUGCUCAAAAGUCGUUCCUAAGGGAAUGCAGAGCCAAAUACCGCCGAAAUAUAAGGCGAAGAAGUUCAAAAGACAUUCCUAAGGGGAUGCAAAACUUAUACCGCCGAAAUAGAAAGCGAAGAAGUUCAAAAGACGUUCCUAAGGGGAUGCAAAACUUACAUCGAAAAAUAAGCGGUGCAGCCGAAAAAUAAAUGGCAAAGAGAUUUCAGUCAUUCCCAAGAGAAUGCAUAGUUUGGAUGUGGCUUCGUAAGCGUGUGUCUGGACAUUCAUUUGCACAAUACAUCACAUCAUUCAUUGCAUUCAUAUACAUUCAUUUAGACAUAUGUAGGAUCAUCAUCAUCAUACCAUACAAGUACAGACAGUUGCUUCGGCUCUAAUGACAAGGCUUCGACGAGAGGAAAAAGAAGCAGAUUUAUGCUUCGUUGUGUACGAAAAGAAGGGAAGGUGUUUUUCGCCUUCGGCUCAAAAAAUACAAGUUUCGUCCACAUCAAAGCAGUUCACACAUAGACGGAAAGGUAAAAGUAUAUUACAAGGUAUGGACAAAUUUACAGAGUAGUAUCUGAUUCUUAAAUUACAAUAUUCUUUACAAGGAUAAUUCAAGAAUUUCUCAGAGUUUUUUCAUAGCAGUGUCUUCAGCUUCAUCAUCAUCCGCCAAGCUUCAGAUCAUUGCUCUUCGGCUUCGUCAUCCUAUACAUAACAAAGCGUUAUAAGGUAAACUCAAGUUUCAAGGAGAAGGUAAGCAUCAGGUAUGACUUUAUUACCGGCUUAAGGUGACUUCGAGCUUCAUCACCAGCUAAGCUUCGCCCACCCUUCGUCUAGAUUUGUGUUAUGAAUCUAUUUCCUAUGCUUCGAGCCAGGCUGGGGAUAUCAAUUAAAUAUGUUGGCGAUAAGCUGAAGUUUGGUCUAUUAACGAUCUUCCCAUGUGUGCAACCAGUUUUCAUGAAGGCAACAGUUGUGCCCCGAGAAGCUAGCAGGGCACAGAAGUCGUCGUGUUCAGCUAUAACUUCGUCAAGAGCAUCAACUUUGCCCUCAAUAUGUUCGAAGGUCCCUGGCAGGUCUUCAACUGAAGGUUCAAAUUUCUCAGAACUGGCCCCAACUGAGUUGAAGACCUGCUUCAGCCGCUGCACGCAUCGGUUGCCGAAGUCUAGACAUUUAUCUUGAAGCUCUUUCAAUGAUUUCUGCAAAUUUGAACUCUUUUCGACUUCAGUCUCAAAAUUGCAUCAAAUUUCUGCUUUUCUUGUACGAAGCUUUCUGACUUUGUGAGGAGUUCACUAUUCAAUCUUGCAAUUUUGGCUUCAGCUUCUGCUAGUAAACAAUGUGAUAGCUUCAUGAUCUUUUAUUUUGCUCUCUAAGCCUUCAAUUAUAACCUCAUGUUUUUUAUCUUCAAGAUCCUGUUGCAUCCUCAAGGCUUUACUUCAUAGCAUACUCUGUGCAAAAACAACCUUCGUCGUUAAAACAAUGAAAAGACGAAGAAAAUUUUUUACCUUGAAAUUAGAAUAGAAUAAACUACCGACGAUAUGAUGUCAUCGUUAGCGACUGAUAUCGGCCUCAAGCUUUGGGAAACCAAUACUCUUCGACAGAGUACUGCUAACCUUCGCUCCAGUUCGGUCUCAGAGGCAUCCUAAGCUUUCGUCGUCAAUACCGCCGAAGAGCAGUGCUCCUGGUUUGUAACCACAGGAUAUAACAUAAUCUCUCAGCUCUUCUUUCUCAGCCUUAGACAACUUUUGACCAAUUAUAUUUUGAAAAUUGAUAUCCUUUUCCUCCGAAGUGUCUUCGGCGAUCUCCUUCUCUUUUCUAGGCACUGUGGCCAGGGUCUCUUUGGCGGCUGCAGCAGCUUCUUCCGCGGCCAUAUUCAGAAGCAUUUUAUCAAUAUCAGAAAAUGUGCUCUCUAGAUUUGUAUCUUUGGCCGUUGCAGCUUCAGCAGUUGCAGCUUCGGUGGGAGUAGCUUCGGCAGCUGUAGCGCCCUCGACAUCAGGUGUUAUCUUCGACGCUGAGGCCGGCGGUGGCGUUUCUUCAAUGGCUUCGAUUACAGUAAUAAUCCUCCGCCUUUUUGGCCCAGCAGACUUCUUCGCUGCCGAGGGCUCCUUCUUCUUCUUCUUCUGUAAAAGCUUCGUCAGAUGUGGCCCCAGUGGACUUAGCUUGAUAGGUAAGGAUUCAGUCAUUACCUUUAGAAUUUCUUCCAUGUUAGCAGCAGAAGGUGUUGAAGGAGUCUCUUCCUCUAUCUCAGUCGUUUUUUCCUUCGGAGCCGCAACUUUCCUCUUCUUCGGAGCAGCUACCUUCGACUCAGGGCUUGAUUUUCUCCUCUUCAGAAUUUCUUCAUCUUCUUUCACCAUUCUAGCAGCUUGUCUGCUCAGAACACUAACAAUCAUUUUUCUCUUCUGCCCUUUGGCACCCUUGUUCAAUCGUCAUAGUCAGGAUAUUCAAAAUUCAGGGCAUCCAUCACCCGAUUCAACCUUCGCUUCGGUCGGGUGCCGAAGGCUGCAGUCAUCAGCUGAUCUUCUUUUUUAGUGUAAUUUCCCAAAAUUUUGUUGCACAUGGUUUCUAUCAUUUCUAACCAUUCUUGACAUGGCCCUUUGAAUUGUUUCUCGAAUUUGAACUUAUAAGGUAGUCGCACAAGUUCUUUCUUCUCCUUUGUCCCCUUUAGCUUCGGCAUGUUCCAUUCACUCAGCGUCAGGAACACCUUAUAGGCCAGAUAUUCUUGGACUAGAUCUCUUGUGUUGAUCUGCUCGGCCACUACCCGGAAUUCUGCCACAACUUGUUGGCAUGGUGACCCCGGCUCCAUACGGCACAGCGGCCUAGUCAGCCCGAAGCUUAAGCUCAGAGGGCUCAGUACUAGCGUCUUGAGCUUCUCCCUCUUCUUCUCAUCGGCCUUCACAUAAAACCACUCAUUUUUCCAACCAGUUGGCCACUUGGUGCGAUAGCUAACCACCUGAGUCUUCAUAUCUUUGCGGUAAGCGAAGUUGUAACAACCAAAAUUCUCAUGAAGACCAUCUUCUCUGGCCUUCGUCUGAUAAUGAAGCUCGUGCACUCGGCAAAAGGCUUAGACAUUCGGGUCUAUUCCUUGGCUUCGGAGAGCCUAGAUGAAGACGCUGAGUCUAACGAUAGCGUUAGGAGUCAGCUGAUGAAGAUAGAUUUCAUAAUUUUCUAAAACUUCCCCAAUCAUUUCGUUCAAAGGAAACCUCAACCCCGCUCUGAAGAAACUCCUGAAAACUACCACCUCAUCAUUUUCCGGUGUCGGAGUGGUUUCUUCCCUGCCAAAACGAAUCAGCUUCUUCUCAGCUUAUCCAAAGUAGCCUAGCUUUAUCAUCAUAGGCAUAUCAGCCUCAGAAACGGUAGAUUUUCCAAAGUCCAAGUGACUGGGUUUGGCUGGCAUGAGAGUAUUAUAAUCUUCCUCUUCUUCAUCAACAACAUCUUCUUCAAUGUCAGCAUAUUCAGCUUCGGCAGCAGGUGCACCUUCGUCAGCAGCUACCUCUGUCACAACCAUUCCCGAUUGUUUCAUCACUUCAGAGAUCGGGGCAGUCUUUGUGGCUUCGGCCUCCUCUCCGUCACGGGUCACCCUAGCAGUUGAACGAACUCUGGCCAUCAGGUGUCGAAUUCUUUGCAGUUCUUACGAAUGUUGAUGAUUUUUAUGGUUGUGACGAAGCUCUCUCUUAUGACAAAGCUAGAUCAAAACGAUGCUUUGCUUGAGAAUGCAAUGAGAAAGCUUCGGCUAUGGUUAAAUUUUUCAGCAGCACAACUGUGCAAUGACAAUGAAUGCUAUGGUAACUUCACACCUACCCGUUUUUUAUAUAGUGCUGCAGGUGUGAAGGUGAAUCGUCAAGUCGCCCGUACCUGUUCAACAGUCACCCGCACUCACUGAACGGUGGACCACGAUGCGUGCGAGAUGAAUCGGCAGAUCGUGCAUACCCGCUGCAUGGUAGGACCACCCCGCGCUCGGAUUAUUUUAAUCGUUUCUCGGCAACAAGCUUAGGGAAGGUGUUUUUCGGACCUUCGGCAUUCCGAAGCCUAGGAUAAUUUUCACGGAUCAAGCUCGUUACAAAAAAUGAUCUAGCACCGCGAAGGGGCUACUGUUGGGGGUCUGCUUCGUAGCCGAAGGUCCUGUAAGAAGAAACACAUUCGGAAGAUCAGCACGGAACAACGCCGAAGCUACCUUCCAGGGAACUUCGGCAUAACGACAUGCCUAAGACUGUCGGGGACCAUAAUUAGGGGUACCCUCAAGACGCCUAAUUCUCAGCUGGUAACCCCCAUCAGCAUAAAGCUGCAGAGGCCUGAUGAGUAUGAUUAAGUCAGGGAUCAGUCCAUACGAGUGACUCGAUCACGCUUCACCCGAGCCUAGCCUCGGACUUGGGCAGCCGACCUCGAGGGACUUCCGUCUCGCCCGAGGCCCCCCUUUUAACGGCGGACACAUCUCCGGCUCGCCCGAGGCCUUGGCUUCGCUAAGAAGCAACCCUGACUAAAUCGCCGCACCGACUGACCGAGUUGCAGGGGCAUUUAACGCAAAGGUGGCCUGACACCUCUAUCCUGACGCACGCCCCCCCGGCAGAGCCGAAGUGACCGCCGUCACUCCGCUGCUCCACUGACCGGUCUGACAGAAGGACAGCGCCGCCUGCGCCACUCCGACUGCGGUGCCACUCGACAGAGUGAGUCUGACAGGCAGUCAGGCCUCGCCAGGGGCGCCAUAGCGAACUCCGCUCCGCCCGACCCCAGGGCUCGGACUCGGGCUAAGACCCGGAAGACGGCGAACUCCGCUCCGCCCGACCCUAGGGCUCGGACUCGGGCUAAGACCCAGAAGACGGCGAACUCCGCUCCGCCCGACCCCAGGGCUCGGACUCGGGCUAAGACCCGGAAGACGGCGAACUCCGCUCCGCCCGACCCCAGGGCUCGGACUCGGGCUCGGACCCGGAAGACGGCGAACUCCGCUCCGCCCGACCCCAGGGCUCGGACUCGGGCUAAGACCCGGAAGACGGCGAACUCCGCUCCGCCUGACCCCAGGGCUCGGACUCGGGCUCGGCCCCGGAAGACGACGAACUCCGCCUCGCCCGACCCCAGGGCUCGGACUCCGCCCUGGCCUCUGCCGAACGACUUCCGCCUCGCCCGACCCGGAGGCUCGGACUCGGCCUCAGCAACGGAAGACAGAUUCGACCCCAGCUUCGGAGGAGCCCCCACGUCACCCGGCCUCGGGCGCGGGCCCGCCACGUCAACAGGGAGCGCCAUCACCACUCUACCCCGAGCCGACUCGGGCCGUAGAGAACAAGACCGGUGUCCCAUCUGACCAGCUCCGCCAGAUAGGCAAUGAUGGCGCCUCCCAAGCUCCAUGACGGCGGCGGCUCUCAGCUCUCUUACGGAAGCAGGUGGACGUCAGCAAGGACUCGACCGCUCCGACAGCUGUCCUUCCGCCAAAGCUCCGUUGCUCCUCCGACAGCCACGACAUCACGCCAGCGGGUGCCAAGAUCUCUCCGGCUGCCACAUUGGCAUGUACUUAGGGCGCUAGCUCUCCCUCCGCUAGACACGUAGCACUCUGCUACACCCCUCAUUGUACACCUGGAUCCUCUCCUUACGCCUAUAAAAGGAAGGACCAGGGCCUUCUUAGAGAAGGUUGGCCGCGCGGGACCGAGGACGGGACAGGCGCUCUCUUGGGGCCGCUCGCUUCCCUCACCCGCGUGGACGCUUGUAACCCCCCUACUGCAAGCGCACCCGACCUGGGCGCGGGACGAACACGAAGACCGUGGGACUUCCACCUCUCUCACGCCCGUCUCCGGCCACCUCGCCUCUCCCCCCUUCGCGCUCGCCCACGCGCUCGACCCAUCUGGGUUGGGGCACGCAGCACACUCACUCGUCGGCUUAGGGACCCCCCGGUCUCGAAACGCCGAUAGUUGGCGCGCCAGAUAGGGGGUAUGCUGCGUGCUGACGAACAGCUUCCCGUCAAGCUCCAGAUGGGCAGUCUCCAGCAACCUCUCCGGCCCGGGACGGUGCUCCGUUUCGGGAGUCUUGAGUUCAUGUCCUUCGACGGCAGCUACGACAUGAUACUCCUUCCACCGCCGUGCGACAACGACAAUGGCGGCCGACAACCCGCCCGCCGGCGGCGGAAUCGACGACAUCUCCCCCGCAUGGUGGAAGAACAACCUUCGAGCUCGCUCCGUCCUCUCCCCCGUCAACGGAGGAGGAGGCGGGGCAACCAAGGCCAAGCGGGAGGCCGCGCUUCGUCGGCCAUCGAGCGAAUCGAUGCCCCUGACGUCCCGACGGAAGGCACGCCGGGCGUCGACCUCGCGUUCGAGACGAAGGCAAGCGCCGUCCCCCCGCGACACGCCGAUCCCGAGCGAGAAGACGACGCCAGCGCGCUCGCGGAGAGCUUGCAGGACGUCGCCCUUGUACUUGAGAUGACGGCGCAACUAGUCCCCGAUGUGACUACGUCGCUCCGCGUCGACCAAAAGGUACUGACUAACUCCCAUCUUACGUCAUUUCGACUCGGCCUCAACCCGCCUAGCGACCUUGCUUUGGCGGGCGCCCUCAUUGAGGCGAGUGCAACCCCACUGGGGUUUCGUAUGCGGUCGCCUUGGGACCGGUUGACGGACGUCUCAACUUACGGGCCCUCUGGGUCCGAGGAAGAUGACGAUUCCAGCAUCUGUUGGGAUUUCUCUGGACUUGGCAACCCCGGUGCCAUGCGGGACUUCAUGACCGCAUGUAACUACUGCCUCUCCGACUGUUCCGACGGAAGCCGCAGCCUUAACGACGAGGGCUGCGGCCCAAGCCGCGAAUGUUUCCACAUCGAGCUAGGGGAUCCCUCCGAAGGCAACCAUCUCGGCAUGCCGGAGGACGGUGAUCUUCCUAGGCCGGUGCCUCGCGCCGACAUCCCGCGGGAGCUAGCUGUGGUCCCCGUUCCGGCGGGGGGGUCAUGACCCACAACUCGAGCAAGUCCGCGGGGCGCAGGCCAGGCUCAACGAGGGAACAGGAGCGCUUGAGCCGAUCCGUCGGGACAUCGGACAGGUAUGGGCGGGCCAACCCCCGGCCGGAGAAAUACGUCACUUGCCCCAAGGUCUCCAGCACUGCGCCGCCAACGAUGUCAGGGUCAGGCCGCCGCCCGCAUCCAGCGGGGUUGGUCAGAACCUGGCAGCCGCAGCGAUGCUCCUCCGCGCGAUGCCGGAGCCAUCAACUACCGAGGGUCGGCGGAUCCAGGGAGAGCUCAAGAAUCUCCUGGAAGGCGCUGCGGCCCGACGGGCCGAGAGCACUGCCUCCCGAAGGCAGGGGUACCCCUCGGAACCUCAUGCCGCGACUUCCCGAUUCGUGCGGGAAGCCUCGGUCUACACCGGACGCACGCGCAACACCGCGCCUGCGGCCCCGGGCCACCUCGGCGACGAGCACCAUCGACGUGACCGUCGGGCCCACCUCGACGAAAGGGUGCGCCGAGGCUACCACCCCAGGCGUGGGGGGCGCUACGACAGCGGGGAGGAUCAGAGUCCCUCGCCCGAACCACCCGGUCCGCAGGCCUUCAGUCGGGCCAUCCAACGGGCGCCGUUCCCGACCCGGCUCCGACCCCUGACUACCAUCACAAAGUACUCGGGGGAAACGAGACCGGAACUGUGGCUCGCGGACUACCGCCUGGCCUGCCAACUGGGUGGAACGGACGACGACAACCUCAUCAUCCGAAACCUCCCCCUGUUCCUCUCCGACACUGCUCGCGCCUGGUUGGAGCACCUGCCUCCGGGGCAGAUCUCCAGCUGGGACGACUUGGUCCAAGCCUUCGCCGGAAAUUUCCAGGGCACAUACGUGCGCCCCGGGAAUUCCUGGGACCUUCGAAGCUGCCGGCAACAGCCGGGAGAGUCGCUCCGGGACUACAUCCGGCGAUUCUCGAAGCAGCGCACCGAGCUGCCCAACAUCACCGACUCGAAUAUCAUCGGCGCGUUCCUCGCCGGCACCAUCUGCCGCGACCUGGUGAGUAAGUUGGGUCGCAAGACCCCCACCAGGGCGAGCGAGCUGAUGGACAUCGCCACCAAGUUCGCCUCUGGCCAGGAGGCGGUCGAGGCUAUCUUCCGAAAGGACAAGCAGCCCCAGGGCCGCCCAUCGGAAGAGGCUCCCGAGGCGUCUACUCCGCGCGGCGCCAAGAAGAAGGGCAAGAAGAAGUCGCAAUCGAAACGCGACGCCGCCGACGCGGACCUUGUCACCGCCGCCGAGUACAAGAACCCUCGGAAGCCCCCCGGAGGUGCAAACCUCUUCGACAAGAUGCUCAAGGAGCCGUGCCCCUAUCAUCAGGGGCCCGUCAAGCACACUCUCGAGGAGUGCGCCAUGCUUCGGCGCCACUUCCACAGGGCCGGGCCACCCGCGGAGGGUGGCAGGGCCCACGACGACGACAAGAAAGAAGAUCACCAAGCAGGAGAAUACCCCGAGGUCCGCGACUGCUUCAUGAUCUACGGUGGGCAUGCGGCGAAUGCCUCGGCUCGGCAUCGCAAGCAAGAGCGCCGGGAGGUCUGCUCGGUGAAGGUGGCGGCGCCAGUCUACCUAGACUGGUCCGACAAGCCCAUCACCUUCGACCAGGCUGACCACCCCGACCACGUGCCGAGCCUGGGGAAAUACCCGCUCGUCGUCGACCCCGUCAUCGGCAACGUCAGGCUCACCAAGGUCCUGAUGGAUGGGGGCAGCUGCCUCAACAUCAUCUACGCCGAGACCCUCAAGCUCCUGCGCGUCGAUCUGUCCUCCAUCCGAGCAGGCGCUGCGCCCUUCCACGGGAUCAUCCCUGGGAAGCGCGUCCAGCCCCUCGGACGACUCGACCUCCCCGUCUGCUUCGGAACGCCCUCCAACUUCCGAAGGGAGACCUUGACGUUCGAGGUGGUCGGGUUCCGAGGAACCUACCACGCGGUACUGGGAAGGCCAUGCUACGCGAAGUUCAUGGCCGUCCCCAACUACACCUACCUGAAGCUCAAGAUGCCGGGCCCCAACGGGGUCAUCACUGUCGGUCCCACGUACAAACACGCGUUCGAAUGUGACGUGGAGUGCGUGGAGUACGCCGAGGCCCUCGCCGAGUCCGAGGCCCUCAUCGCCGACCUGGAGAACCUCUCCAAAGAGGUGCCAGAUGUGAAGCGUCAUGCCGGCAACUUCGAGCCAGCGGAGACGGUUAAGGUCGUCCCUCUCGACCCCCGUGGCGACACCUCCAAGCAGAUCCGGAUCGGUUCCGGGCUCGACCCCAAAUAGGAAGCAGUGCUCGUCGACUUUCUCCGCGCAAACGCCGACGUCUUUGCGUGGAGUCCCUCGGACAUGCCCGGCAUACCGAGGGAUGUCGCCGAGCACUCGCUGGAUAUUCGGGCCGGAGCCCGACCCAUCAGACAGCCUCUGCGCCGAUUCGACGAGGAGAAGCGCAGAGUGAUUGGCGAAGAGAUCCACAAGAUAAUGGCAGCAGGGUUCAUCAAAGAGGUAUUCCAUCCCGAAUGGCUUGCCAACCCUGUGCUUGUGAGGAAAAAAGGGGGGAAAUGGCGGAUGUGCGUAGACUACACUGGUCUCAACAAAGCAUGUCCAAAGGUUCCCUACCCUCUGCCUCGCAUCGAUCAAAUCGUGGAUUCCACUGCUGGGUGCGAAACCCUGUCCUUCCUCGAUGCCUACUCAGGGUAUCACCAAAUCCGGAUGAAAGAGUCCGACCAGCUCGCGACUUCUUUCAUCACGCCGUUCGGCAUGUACUGCUAUGUCACCAUGCCGUUCGGUUUGAGGAAUGCGGGCGCGACGUACCAGCGGUGCAUGAACCAUGUGUUCGGCGAACACAUCGGUCACACAAUCGAGGCCUACGUCGAUGACAUCGUAGUCAAGACAAGGAAGGCUUCCGACCUCCUCUCCGACCUUGAAGUGACAUUCCGAUGUCUCAAGGCGAAAGGAGUCAAGCUCAAUCCUGAGAAGUGUGUCUUCGGGGUGCCCCGAGGCAUGCUCCUGGGGUUCAUCGUCUCCGAGCGAGGCAUCAAAGCCAACCCGGAGAAGAUCGCAGCCAUCACCAGCAUGGGACCCAUCAAGGACUUAAAAGGCGUACCCCGAACAGCAUCAGGUCCGAGCAGGCGGUGGCGUUCUUCACCAACAUCAUCCAUCGCUUCGGGGUCCCAAACUCCAUCAUCACCGACAACGGUACCCAGUUCACCGGCAGAAAAUUCUUGGAUUUUUGCGAAGAUCACCACAUCCGGGUGGACUGGGCCGCCGUGGCUCAUCCCAUGUCGAAUGGGCAAGUGGAGCGUGCCAACGGCAUGAUUCUGCAAGGGCUCAAGCCCCGGAUCUACAACGGCCUCAACAAGUUCGGCAAGCGAUGGAUGAAGGAACUCCCCUCGGUGGUCUGGAACCUGAGGACAACGCCAAGCCGAGCCACGGGUUUCACGCCGUUCUUCCUGGUCUAUGGGGCCGAGGCCAUCUUACCCACUGACCUGGAAUACGGCUCCCCGAGGGCGAGGGCCUACAACGAACAAAGCAACCAAGCUAGCCGAGAAGACUCGCUGGACCAGCUGGAGGAGGCUCGGGACAAGGCCUUACUACACUCGGCGCGGUACCAGCAGUCCCUGCGACGCUACCACGCCCGAGGGGUCCGGUCCCGAGACCUCCAGGUGGGCGAUCUGGUGCUUCGGCUGCGGCAAGACGCCCGAGGGAGGCACAAGCUCACGCCCCCUGGGAGGGGCCAUUCGUCAUCGCCAAAGUCCUGAAGCCCGGAACAUACAAGCUGGCCAAUAAUCAAGGCGAGAUCUACGACAACGCUUGGAACAUCAAACAGCUACGUCGCUUCUACCCUUAAGAUGUUUUCAAGUUGUUCAUAUACCUCGCACCCACGCAAAAAGUUUAGUCAUCAAGGAAGGGUCGGCCUCGCCUCGGCAAAGCCCGGCCCUCCCUCGGGGGCUAAAAGGGGGGAGACCCCCUCUGCGUCGAAUUUUUUCCUCGAAAAAAGAUCUCUUUUUAGCAGAAUUUCUUUCGUGCUUUUUUGACUACUUCGAAAAGCGGAUCCUGGAAACGACGGAGUACACGUAAGCAGCCAAGGCUGACCGAGCCGAGGGACUCCUACGCCUCCGGGAUACGGAUACCUCACUCAUCACCUUCUGCGAUAAGUAACUCGCGUUCGGAUAAAGCGACUCCGUGGACCGAACAAGUCUUCACGUUCGGAAGCUCUUCUGCCAAAGUGGUCCUUCAAGCUUUCUCGACUAAGUCGGAGACAGGGCCUCAUGGACGGGCGAAGGUACGCGUAAGCGGCAAGGCCGACCGAGCCGAGGGACUCCUACGCCUCCGGGAAACGGAUACCUCACUCAUCACCUUCCGCGAGAAGCAACUCUCGCCCGCACAAACAUCCCUGUUACCGACGGAAAGUCCAGAUGCUCGGAAUAAGGGGAAAGGAGACGCAGCUUUGCAAGCGCAGCGAGGGUGUGUUUUCUGGCCUCAGCGGCCGCAGAAGGCACGCGCUACAAGACGAUCUGAUCCUGCAGGCUCGGGUCUUCACGCUGAAGGGGGCCGUAGCACCUUCGGCAUCGACGACGUCUUCAGCAAGGUCCGACCCAGCCUCGGACGGCGGCGCGGUCCAAGGACUUCUCCGGGAAUCCGGCCCGAGCAGGCGGCUCGGCCGGCUACCCCCGGGGCCUCGGCCAACCAUCUUCCAAGGGCACUAGCCCGACCCGAGGCCUCGGCUGAUCGACUCCGGCGUCGGACCCACUGACGGACAACCCGGCUAGGCUCCGGCCAACCAGGUUCCCAUUUUCGAGCCAACUCCGCCUCUGUUCGUACUGGUAUCGCUACCCCUGGCCUCGACUCGUCGAAGAGCGACCGAGGGGUCUCUUUAACUAAGCUAGAGGAGCCUCAGACAACAAGGCCGAUCGAGCCGAAGGAUUCCUACGCCUCCGGGAUACGGAUACCUCACUCGUCACCUUGACACGGGGCGACUCAUGCUUGGUGAAGCGGUACAGAUAAUAAACAGGCGAGACUUAGUGCUCGAAAAUGAGGAAAAAACACGGCUCCGUGCCGAAAUUACAUACAUGUUCAGGCCUCGACAGCCACAAUGAACAAAAACCCUGGCAAUCGAAAUGCCAUUACAAACGGAACUCCGGUUCCCCCUCCGCCGGUACGAACAACCCCACUCCGAGGGGGAAGGCCUGCGGAGCAAUGGAAGGCCGACGAACGGCACGCCGUCACCUGCUCCAGCAGCGGCGACGACGACGACUUCUGCUCCGGGGGGCCGAACAGCGGCAACGCUGACCUCAGGGUGGAUGCCGCUGCUAGGAGGCCCCCGCCCGUGCCAAAACUUGUGAGGCAAGGACGGGCAGAAGGCCGUAGAGUUGGAGGUCAGCCCGUGGCCGGCCCCGGCUAUCGCGCCGGCGGAAGAACCUCUUCCGGCUGCCGUGGCGGACGCCGGCGCCGCGAGCGGCUCCGAAGCCACUCGCGUCUGAAGAUCGGGCACGCUGCAGCUGCUAGCGCCACGGGCGACACCUGCUCCUCCCCCCAUCACUGAGUGAAGGAGCGGGCCGUCGCCCGCGCGGGGGCUGACCCCAACUCGGCACUCUCCCCUCCCCAGCCUUGGUGAUGAAAAUCCUUGAGGCUGAAGGAGGGGCAGAGGCCGCAGCCCGGCUCGCUUUCCCCCACCAUCAGGCCGGAGGUCGCCAUCUCAGGUGACCGCCGGUCGAGGGGUGCGGCCGGGCUGCGUGAUGAAAAUCCUUGAAGCCGAACGAUGGCUGAAAGGUACCAACUCCCACGGAGUUGUGUUCCUCCAACGAGGAGGCGGAAAGACGGUGGGUACCCCCCAUCCGGGGGCUUGAAAGAUGGAAAGACACGACGCAUGAGGGAGGAAGAAGAUGUGGUUGCCUUCCGAAAGGGAUCGCCCUCCUUUUUAAAGGCAACUCUCCCUACGUGCGCCCCCAAACGCCGCGGGCUGAGUCUUCUCCAACACGCUCCAAGGCCCACCCCUGCGACUCGGGGGCUGGGUCCCGCAUGUCAUGCAGACCGGCUUCGAGCAGGAGAAGCCGAACCGUCGCGCGUGGUGCGCACAACCACCCAGCGGUUACAAGCGACCCCCCACUUUUGCCCAGACCAACGGGCGGGAGGGGCGGGUAGCCAUGCAGGCGGCAUGCAACCGCGCCAGGUGGACGCGCUUCUCCGACUUCUGACACGCCAGCUUGGAGGCCCAGGCCCACGCGUCACGCAACCAGCGCGCCAGUUGCUGCAUGCAAACAACCGCGCCACCACUUGUGCCACCGUCGCGCCUCUUCGGUUGUGGAGCCUAUGCCGUGACUCGAGGCAACCCAGCGCACGACCCAGCGGCGCCAGUCUGGCGCGACGGUCAAUGCGGCCGAAAGUGGGCCGGCAGUAAUGACGGUGGCAGGCAGACGGGAGCAGCAGUCACGUCGUCAGCCAGGCUCACGUCCCAUCCAGGGACAGCAAGAGAGCCUCCUCCCACGGCGAGAAGACGGUGCGCCCGUGAUCCGUUCCUCGAACGGCUCGCGCACGCGCAACGGCCGCCCCGCCAACCACUCGCCCCGUCGCGUUAACUCCGCGGCGGGACAGGCGGCACUUCUGGCAGGAGAAGCGGACGACGCUUCGCCUUCGCCGUAAUAACCGCGCCAAAAAAGGUACGCCACGUCGUUCGAUUUCGUAUCCUUUUCCCUUUUUCCUCUUUCUCUAUCUCUUGCAACAGGGACCGGGAAAGGGGGAUACCCCGAAAAGGAUCCUUCCCUGUGAAGGAACCAGGCUCCGAGCCCCCCUACUGAUCAGAGGUUCGAAGGCUGGCCCUCCGAAGGGUUCAACAGUCGCCUCAGAUCGCGUGGGCCCGACACCCACUACUGGUCAGGGGUUCGAAGGCCGGCCCCCCGAAGGGCUCCAUGGCCGCCUCAGGCUACUCGGGCUCCGUGCCCAUUACUGAUCAGAGGUUCGAAGGCUGGCCCCCGAAGGGUUCACAGUCGCCUCAGACGCCGAGCGAGGGAUGACCAGGGGUACGUUCGAUACAUAACCGAGGCUCGGGCUGCGCUCCCGAGGUACCCUAGGACAUUUCCGAGACCAGCGGGAGCGAUCUUAUAACGGAAUCCCAUCGGAGGGAGGCAUCGAGCCCUCGGACCCCGUCGCCAGGGGACCGGGUCCGGCAGAUCACCCGCAGGUACUUUUGGGCGUGCCUCUGGGCCCCUAGCCGACCCCCAACGAACGGGGCACGGACGUCCACUCGGAUUACCCGCUUGCAGCUCACCAGAGACACCAUGUUCGGUGCCCAUCGAGGGUAACAUGGCGCACUCCCCCCUCCUCCUUGCGGAAAGGCGACGUAGGGGCGUAUGCAAAAAGUCGAGUCUGUCCCUGAUCGUCCUCUCGCCCUGUGCGGAGGCUCGGGGGCUGCUCUCGCAAACCCGGCUCCGGCCGAACCGUUGACAGCGUCAACAUACCAGCCCGAGAACUUGGGCCCCGACCGUGCACCCGGGCUACGGCCAGUUCGCAUGAGGGAACGACCAGACCAGCCGAAGCGUUACGCAAGGCAUUAAGACCUCGAAGGAGUGAAACCACUCCUCCGAGGCCUCGGGGGCUACACCCGGCGGGUGCGCUCGCGCGCACCCACCGGAAUAAAAUGCAACCGAGGAAGGCUGGUCCCCUUGCAAAAAAGUGCGACGAAAGCCUCCAAGCGAGUGCUAACACUCCCUUCGAGGCUCGGGGGCUACUGUCGGGGACCAUAAUUAGGGGUACCCUCAAGACGCCUAAUUCUCAGCUGGUAACCCCCAUCAGCAUAAAGCUGCAGAGGCCUGAUGGGUACGAUUAAGUCAGGGAUCAGUCCAUACGAGUGACUCGAUCACGCUUCACCCGAGCCUAGCCUCGGACUCGGGCAGCCGACCUCGAGGGACUUUCGUCUCGCCCGAGGCCCCCCUUUUAACGGCGGACACAUCUCCGGCUCGCCCGAGGCCUUGGCUUCGCUAAGAAGCAACCCUGACUAAAUCGCCGCACCGACUGACCGAGUUGCAGGGGCAUUUAACGCAAAGGUGGCCUGACACCUCUAUCCUGACGCACGCCCCCCGGGCAGAGCCGAAGUGACCGCUGUCACUCCGCUGCUCCACUGACCGGUCUGACAGAAGGACAGCGCCGCCUGCGCCACUCCGACUGCGGUGCCACUCGACAGAGUGAGUCUGACAGGCAGUCAGGCCUCGCCAGGGGCGCCAUAGCGAACUCCACUCCGCCCGACCCCAGGGCUCGGACUCGGGCUAAGACCCGGAAGACGGCGAACUCCGCUCCGCCCGACCCCAGGGCUCGGACUCGGGCUAAGACCCGGAAGACGGCGAACUCCGCUCCGCCCGACCCCAGGGCUCGGACUCGGGCUAAGACCCGGAAGACGGCGAACUCCGCUCCGCCCGACCCCAGGGCUCGGACUCGGGCUCGGACCCGGAAGACGGUGAACUCCGCUCCGCCCGACCCUAGGGCUCGGACUCGGGCUAAGACCCGGAAGACGGCGAACUCCGCUCCGCCCGACCCCAGGGCUCGGACUCGGGCUCGGCCCCGGAAGACGACGAACUCCGCCUCGCCCGACCCCAGGGCUCGGACUCCGCCCUGGCCUUUGCCGAACGACUUCCGCCUCGCCCGACCCGGAGGCUCGGACUUGGCCUCGGCAACGGAAGACAGAUUCGACCCCAGCUUUGGGGGAGCCCCCACGUUGCCCGGCCUCGGGCGCGGGCCCGCCACGUCAACAGGGAGCGCCAUCACCACUCUACCUCGAGCCGACUCGGGCCGCAGAGAACAAGACCGGUGUCCCAUCUGACCAGCUCCGCCAGAUAGGCAAUGAUGGCGCCUCCCAAGCUCCAUGACGGCGGCGGCUCUCAGCUCUCUUACGGAAGCAGGUGGACGUCAGCAAGGACUCGACCGCUCCAACAGCUGUCCUUCCGCCAAAGCUCCGUUGCUCCUCCGACAGCCACGACAUCACGCCAGCAGGGUGCCAAGAUCUCUCCGGCUGCCACAUUGGCAUGUACUUAGGGCGCUAGCUCUCCCUCCGCUAGACACGUAGCACUCUGCUACACCCCUCAUUGUACACCUGGAUCCUCUCCUUACGACUAUAAAAGGAAGGACCAGGGCCUUCUUAGAGAAGGUUGGCCGCGCGGGACCGAGGACGGAACAGGCGCUCUCUUGGGGCCGCUCGCUUCCCUCACCCGCGUGGACGCUUGUAACCCCCCUACUGCAAGCGCACCCGACCUGGGCGCAGGACGAACACGAAGGCCGCGGGACUUCCACCUCUCUCACGCCCGUCUCCGGCCACCUCGCCUCUCCCCCCUUCGCGCUUGCCCACGCGCUCGACCCAUCUGGGCUGGGGCACGCAGCACACUCACUCGUCGGCUUAGGGACCCCCCGGUCUCGAAACGCCGACAAAGACGAAGGGUUGCAUCGACUUAAAGAUGAAAAGACAGAUUGACCCAUGAUAGUUUGUGUCAUGAUUGUAAUCGAUUGUAAAGGGUAUAAAUGUAAUUUCACAUAGGCUGCACCUUGUGCCUAUAAAUAGAUGAACAAUACCCCCGUACUGUUCACGCUGAUUUGUACUCGCUCGUGCAUCAUACUUGUUCUUUCUCCUUCAGUCAAGCCAAAGGUACAAAUGUAAUUCUAUAUUAUUUCUGUUUAUCCAUGACAAUAUAAUAAGAGAUGAGUUAAUAAUAUCAUACGAUUAUUCAUAUUGUUUCUUAUAUUUUACAUGCUUCUUCUUUCAUUAUCAUAUACUGCGAUGAUGAAGGUAUGUCCUUGAUGACCUUCGUCCGAAGAUUAUUAUAUUCUAAGGGAAAUAAUGCUUUGAAGGACAAAGAGCUUUAAUGUAACACCCUGAAUUUGGGGGUAUAAAAUUUCUUUGCUCAUAUUCACAAAUUCAGGUGUUACUUCCCUUUUCUUAUCCUUCCCCAAUCUCCUCUCUCUCAUUUCUAUAGGAGAAAAGUGGUUAUCUUAUUUAUAAUUAUAGUCUAUUAGCUCAAACUCCAAGGGAGUAUGAAUUGUUGCAUCAUGUUGAACCCUAGAUUUCACUUUUGUUUGGUGCAUAAUUCUCAAAAGGUCUAAUUUGAAUUUGUGGCUCAUUUGAAUUUGAAUCAAAUAGAGAAAAUAAAAAGAAAAGAGAAAACAAAUACCAAAAUAAAAGAAAAAGGAAAAGAAGCCCGCUUUCCCCGCCCCCUCGGCCUUUCGGCCCAGUCGGCCCGCCUUGCGCGUGCCCGCCUCCCGCUCUCUCUGCUCGCCCGGCCCCACCUGUCGGCGCUGCCGCUUCCCCCGCGCGUGCGCCCGCUCCCUCGCUCUCUCUGCCCGUGGGCCCGGCCCGUCAGCCCCGCUUUCCUCGCGCCCGCACCCGCUUUCUUCUCUCUCUCUGCGCCGCGGGCCCGGCUUGUCAGCUUCUCCGUCUUCGCGUAACCGCCGCCGUGCGUGCCGCGGUCUCCGCGCCCACGUCGCGCGUGGGGCUCGCCCCACCUCGCCCUCGGCCACUUGAGCCCCGAGCCUUGCUCGCCACCUCCCCCUCCCUCAUUUGCGCACCAACCGGCCCCCCCUCUUCCACCUCUCCCUCGCUGUGCGCACGCCAGAGCGCCGCCGCCGUAAACCCCGCCGUUCCGAGCUCGGUUCCCGGCCGCCGUUGGAGCUCCGCCGUGUCCAUUGCCACGGUGAGCUUCGCCCCGACGUCCGCAACCCGGAACGCGCACCAAUUUCCCCUUCCCCUCCCUAUUUCGCUCUGCUCGCGCUCACCCGCCGUCCUCCGUGCAGCCACCACCGUCGCCCCGGGCCGCCGUCGCGUCUCCGUCGCCACCGAGGAGUCCCCGGAGGCCGCUAUGAGGUAAGGGACCUCUCCCGCCCCUAUUGGCCUUUGUCUUGCUCUCUAUCGCGUUUAAUUCCUCGCCGGAGUAGUUUAGCGCCGCCGUCGAGCCGCUCCACCGCGAACCGCCCCCCUCCGGUGCCCCUGCCCCGACCUAGUCCCCACCAAAAGGUUCCCCGCGCCCUCCCCAACCUUCCCGGCCACUCAGGUCGCCCCGGGGACCCGCAGGGCCCCCGCGCCCCUCGUCUCCGGCGAGUUCUCCACCGCGGGACGGGCGCCGCCGCCUCAGCUGGCUGGGGAAGGAGACAGGAGCCAGCCGCCCCAUCUCCGCCGUCCAUCUUAGAUCGGACGGCCCUGUUUCAAAUAGCCCGAACCCAGCCUCAGCCGUUCGCCUGAGAUCCAACGGCCCAGAGCCGUUUCCCCCGCGCCCCGCCUCCCUGCCAACUGGGCCCCGCCUGCCAGUCGCCCGCGCUCGCGCUGCCAACUGGGCCCCGCCUGCCGGUCGCCCGCGCUCGCGCUGCCAACUGGGCCCCGCCUGUCAGCCCCGCGCCCGCGCUGCCCGCCCGGCCCCGCCUGUCAGCCGCUCACGCCGCCGCGCGCCCGCGCGCCCGCCCGCAGGAUCUAAUCCUGGUCGUCCGUUUGAGAUCCAACGGCUGUAAGCGCCCGAUACCCCUUCGCCCGCGCAUUUUCUUAAAGAACCCCCCUGUUUUCUGGAAAUUGCGCCCGCCGUCCCUGGUUUCUCGCAGUUAGGUCCUCAGACCUUUUAUUUAAUUCAAAAUAGGUCCUUAGGGUAUAAUUUUAACCCCUAAACUUGUAAAAUUCAUAACUUUGUCAUAUGAACUCCAAAUUAGGUGCUUCAAAUUGCAAAAUGUUCAUAAUAUUAUUAUCUAUCUGUUUAUGCAAUGUUUCCCUGCUGUUUCCAUGUCCCAAUUAAUGGUUAAUCAUUAGGAUAAAGUUAAUGUUAUGGGAACCCUAUUUGAGAUAAAUAAAAGAAAGUAGACUUUAAUAAAAGUUGGAGCACUUAAGUUUAUGGACUCAAACACUUAAGUUUAGGAACUUAAACCAGAUAAUUAUUUAAUCCCACCACUGACUUAAACCUGAGUAGUGGAUAAUGACUCAUUUUGUAUAGUCCUCUACCCCAGGCCUAGAGAACACCAGAGUGCCUAUCCCUUUUCUGUUAUGAACAUGUGACCUCUCUCUGCUGCAUAUGUUUGGUAUUUUGUUUUUGUUUGUUAUUUUCCCAAGUGCAUAGUGUGAAUGAUUGCUUUACGUAGACAACGAGCAGUCUGUGUUUCCCGAGGCAGUUGCAGAGGAAGUCCCUGAUCAGCAGUUUGGUGAAGGCAAGUGUCCUCUGUCCCAUUAUGUCCUACUCAUUUAUAACUUACUAUCCCGCAUUACUUACUUGAAACCUAAGGAUUGACUAGCUUUACACUUUACUUUGUCCUUGAUGACCUAUUGGGUUGUUAUGGUUAGCACUCUGCUAUUGCCUUAACUUAAUCAAUGAACAUGAUGUGACUAUUUAUGAUACUGUCAUCCUGAUGAUGUUGAUGAUCUUGUGAUACUCUAGGGGGCUCAGGCUGUUUCCUGAGUACCUCUCCGUAAGGACUGGUUCGUUGAGAGACCACCCGGGAUAACAGUGCAACCAUGAGGGUGAAAUGGGAUGCCCUUAGCUGAUUAAUUAGAUGAACUAGAGGUGUAGUUGCUUAGCCGUCGUGCCGUCAAUGGGGUCCAGGCACAGUGCUUGCUCUGCCGAGGCUGAGUGCCGAGGUUCUUUCGUUUUGCUCUUUGUUAGUCACUCUCCUGCGGGGAGGGGUACUGUGUUUAUCAAACUGGAGAAACCUAACGGGCAGCUAUGAUCUCUAGGGAAUCUUUGUAAAAGCUACGUAGUGAUGCCCUGCCGGACCACCUAGGUAGUGGUCAAUGGGGAUUAGCUCUCCCCGGGUAGAAAGGGAAUCAUGACUCAUGGGUAAAGUGUGCAACCUCUGCAGAGGGUAGUGAAACUGAUAUAUCAGCCGUGCUCACGGUUAAGAGCAGCCUUGGGAUCCUCUUUGAUUAGAGAUACAGAUGGUUCGAGAUGCAAGGAUUAUGUUAUGGUUUUGGUUCGACGAUGAUGAUGAUGUUCCUCGAUGAGGAAAUGGUUUACGGGUUGGUUAAUGCUAAAAUCUGGCUUCUACUAAUGAUAAAUACCUGACCAACUAAAAGCAACUGCUUGAGCCUAACCCCACAUAAAGCUAGUCCACCUCAGCCAAACGGGACAUUUGCUGAGUACGUUGAUGUGUACUCAUCCUUGCUUUACCACAAAACACCAGGUUGUCCACAUUGCAACCACUGCUCAGGAGAAGGCGAAGUCGUGGAAGGAGACUUCCAGGAGUUCCAAGACUACGACGAAUUUUAGGUGUGGGUUGGCGGCAACCCCCAGUCAGCUGCCUGUGGAGGCCUUUUCUUUACUGCGUUUCGCUAGUACUUUGAUUUACCUGUUAAGACGAUGACUAUGUGGAUGUCUAUGACUCUGUGAUGUAAUAAGUUAAUACUCUUUUAUGUUAUUAUUCGAGCAUUGUGCGAUGAUGUUCAUUUAUGUAAUCGCUGUGUACGUGAGUUCUGAUCCUGGCACGUACAUGGUUCGCAUUCGGUUUACCUUCCAAAACCGGGUGUGACAUUUAACCUUUAACAUUUUGUGUUGCCUUGUUCUUAAUUCAUAGCAUCUGAGAACAAGUCCCCAACAAACCCUUUUUCCUUUUCUUCUCUUCUUUUUUGGCUCUGUUUCUAGCACUUAGAUAACCAUGUUAGUACAUAAAACAAUAUACUAAGUUUAGAACCAAACCUUUGUCUUUGAUUUGCACUUCUCACACAUUUUGCUCAUAAGGACUUAUUCAAUGGGUUGGGCACUUAAUCACCAAAACAUUAUAGAAAUUGCCCGAGGGCACAUUUCCCUUUCAAUCUCCCCCUUUUGGUGAUUUAUGCCAACACAUCAAAAUGCAACCAAAAUAAGUGCAACAUCAAUGCAAAUGAGGACCAAAUCAUUUUUGCACAAGAUUUGACAUAUUUAGAUCAUUCUUUGCCACCACUUGGUUUGUUUUUGCAAAUCAAAUUCAUUUUCCUAUUUCUAAGUCAAACACGCUUGUUUAGGCACAAAGAGAGAUAAUCCAAGAGUGAAAUUGAUCGAGUGUCAAAAACUCCCCCUUUUUCCCAUAAUCAAAAUUCACCCCCACAAGAGACCAAAUUUUGCAAUAAGAGCAUUUUGGACAAUUCAAAAAUUCUAUCUCUAUUAUUUUUGAAAUUUACAAGUGGUAGCUGAUCCAUUUGUAGUUGAUCCAUUUGCUUUGACCUUAAUUUCUCCCCCUUUGGCAUUAAGCACCAAAACGGGAUCAUUAUUGGCCCUCUAACCCCAUUGCCUCACCAACAAAUGUCAAUUAAGAGCAAAAAGGCAAAUAGAGCAUAAGAAUGAACUUGGAAUUAAAUACACCAAUACUGGAGUGCAGUAGAAGUCUUUGCAAUGUCCAAGUUCACCGUUCCCUUUCAAUGCACUUUUGAGACUACAUCAAGUAUACUCAAACACAAAGAUUAGUCCCAAAGGGUCAAGUUGUAGCAUAUCUCCCCCUAAAUAUGUGCACCAUUUGCAUAUGGUGUGAGGUCCGGGGAGGUCUUGUACAACUUGAGCACCACAAAUAUACGAGUAAUGUAAAUGCUUCAAAGUAACAUGAUCAAAGGCAUAGAACACAUGUAUGCUAUAGAUCAAUCCAAGUUACGUGAAUCUAAGACAUUUAGCUCACUACGCAACCUGCAAAAAGUUUUCUCAUCUAAAGGCUUAGUGAAGAUAUCGACUAGCUGGUUCUCGGUGCUAAUAUGGUACACCUCGAUAUCUCCCUUUUGCUGAUGAUCUCUCAGGAAGUGAUGCUGGAUGUCUAUGUGCUUAGUGCGGCUGUGUUCAACAGGAUUAUCCACCAUGCGGAUUGCCCUCUCAUUGUCACAUAGGAGUGGAACUUUGCUCAGAUUGUAUCCAAAGUCCCGGAGGGUUUGCCUCAUCCAAAGUAGUUGCACGCAACACUGUCCUGCGGCAACAUACUCGACCUCAGCGGUGGAUAGGGCAACAUAUGUUUGUUUCUUUGAACUCCAGGACACCAGGGACCUUCCUAGAAAUUGGCACGUCCCUGAUGUGCUCUUCCUAUCAACCUUGCACCCAGCAUAAUCGGAGUCUGAGUAUCCAAUCAAGUCAAAGGUAGACCCCUUUGGAUACCAGAUCCCAAAGCAAGGCGUAGAAACUAAAUAUCUAAGAAUUCGCUUAACGACCACAAGGUGACAUUCCUUGGGGUUGGAUUGAUAUCUAGCACACAUGCAUACACUUAGCAUAAUGUUCGGUCUACUAGCACAUAAAUAAAGCAAUGAACCUAUCAUGGAUCGGUAUGCCUUUUGAUCAACGGACUUACCUCCUUUGUUGAGGUCAACAUGCUCGUCGGUUCCCAUCGGUGUCUUCGCGGGCUUAGCGUCCUUCAUCCCAAACCGCUUGAGAAGAUCUUGUGUGUACUUCGUUUGGGAGAUGAAGGUACCGUCCUUGAGUUGCUUCACUUGGAACCCAAGGAAGUAGGUCAACUCGCCCAUCAUCGACAUCUCGAACUUUUGUGUCAUCACCCUGCUAAACUCCUCACAAGACUUUUGAUUAGUAGAACCAAAUAUUAUGUCAUCAACAUAAAUUUGGCACACAAAAAGAUCACCAUCACAAGUCUUUGUAAAAAGAGUGGGAUCGACUUUCCCAACCUUGAAGGCAUUAGCAAUUAAGAAAUCUCUAAGGUAUUCAUACCAUGCUCUUGGGGCUUGCUUAAGUCCAUAGAGCGCCUUAGAGAGUUUGAACACAUGGUCGGGGUACCUGUCAUCCUCAAAGCCAGGGGGUGGUUCCACGUAUACUUCCUCCUUUAUUGGCCCAUUGAGGAAAGCGCUCUUCACAUCCAUUUGAAAUAGCCUGAAAGAGUGGUGAGCGGCAUAGGCUAAUGGAAUUCGAAUAGACUCUAGCCUAGCCGUAGGAGCAAAAGUCUCCUCGAAAUCCAAACCUGCGACUUGGGCAUAACCUUUUGCCACAAGUUGAGCCUUGUUUCUUGUCACCACCCUGUGCUCGUCUUGCUUGUUGCAGAACACCCACUUGGUUCCCACAACAUUUUGUUUUGGACGUGGUACCAGACUCCAAACUUCAUUUCUCUUGAAGUUGUUGAGCUCUUCCUGCAUGGCCAACACCCAAUCUGGAUACUGCAAGGCCUCUUCUACCUUGAAAGGCUCAAUAGAAGAGACAAACGAGUAAUGCUCACAAAAGUUGGCUAAUCUUGAGCGAGUAGUUACUCCCUUUCUUAUGUCACCCAGAAUCUGGUCAACGGGGUGAUGUCGUUGGAUCGUUGCUCGGACUUGAGUUGGAGGGGCACGUCGUGCUUCUUCCUCCAUCACUUGUUCUUCCUGUGCUCCCCCUUGAUCCUGUCCCUCUUCUUGAGGUACCUGUUCACCGUAUUGAGUUGGAGGAUGCACCAUUGUGGAGGAAGACGAUGGAUCUUGCUCCUGUUGUUCCUGUGGUCUCACAUCACCAAUCGCCAUCGUGCGCAUUGCGGCCGUUGGAACAUCAUCUUCAUCUAUGUCAUCAAGAUCAACUUGCUCUCUUGGAGAGCCAUUAGUCUCAUCAAAUACAAUGUCGCUAGAGACUUCAACCAAACCCGAUGAUUUGUUGAAGACUCUAUACGCCUUUGUAUUUGAGUCAUAACCUAGUAAAAACCCUUCUACUGCCUUGGGAGCAAAUUUAGAAUGUCUACCUUUCUUCACCAGAAUAUAACAUUUGCUCCCAAAUACAUGAAAGUAGGAGACGUUGGGUUUGUUACCGGUAAGUAGUUCGUAGGAGGUCUUCUUGAGGAGGCGAUACAGAUAGAGCCGGUUUAUGGCGUGGCAAGCUGUGUUCAUAGCUUCCGACAAAACUGCUCGGGCGUCUUGAACUCUCCAAGCAUCAUUCUCACCAUGUCGAUAAGCGUCCUAUUCUUCAUCUCUACCACACCGUUUUGCUGUGGUGUGUAGGGAGCGGAGAACUCGUGCUUGAUGCCUUCCUCCACAAGAUACUCCUCAACUUGCAGAUUCUUGAACUCGGACCCGUUGUUGCUCCUUAUCUUUUUCACCUUUAGCUCAAAUUCGUUUUGAGCCCUCCUUAGAAAGCGCUUUAGGGUCCCUUGGGUUUUUGAUUUAUCCUGCAAAAAGAACACCCAAGUGAAGCAGGAAAAAUCAUCAACAAUUACAAGACCAUACUUACUUCCCCUGAUGCUAAGGUAGGCAACAGGUCUGAAAAGGUCCAUGUGAAGAAGCUCCAGUGGUCUUGAUGUUGUCAUCACAUUCUUGCUAUGAUGAGUGCUUCCCACCUGUUUCCCUGCCUGACAUGUUGCACAAGGCCUAUCUUUCUCGAAACAAACAUUAGUUAGUCCUAAUACAUGUUCUCCCUUUAGAAGUUUAUGAAGGUUCUUCAUCCCAACAUGUGCUAGACGACCAUGCCACAGCCAGCCCAUACUAGUCUUAGCUAUUAAGCAUGCAUCUAGAUCGGCCUCCUCUUUCGAAAAAUCAACUAAGUAGAGUUUGCCGUCUAAUACACCCUUAAAAGCUAAUGAACCAUCACUCCUUCUGAAGACAGAUACAUCAAUGUUUGUAAAAAGACAAUUGUAACCCAUGUGACACAAUUGACUUACAGACAGAAGGUUGUAACCAAGCGACUCUACUAGGAAUACAUUCGAUAUGGAGUGCUCGUUAGUGAUGGCUAUCUUGCCCAAGCCUUUGACCUUGCCUUGGUUCCCAUCUCCAAAGAUGAUCGUAUCCUGGGAAUCCUUGUUCUUGACGUAGGAGGUGAACAUCUUCUUCUCCCCCGUCAUAUGGUUUGUGCAUCCACUGUCGAUAAUCCAGCUUGAGCCCCUGGAUGCAUAAACCUACAAGGAAUUUAAGCUUGGGUUUUAGGUACCCAACUCUUGUUGGGUCCUACAAGGUUAGUCACAAUAAUUUUUGGAACCCAAAUACAAGUCUUGUCUCCCUUGCAUUUGGAUCCCAACUUUCUAGCAACCACUUUUUCAUUCUUACAUGAAAGUACAAAAGAAGUGUUGCAAGCAUGGAAAACAGUAGUAGGUAUAUUACACAUUUUUCUAGGCACAUGAUGCACAACAUGAUUUUUCCUAGGCCUACUUCCAUGCACAAAAGUAGAGCUAGAGGCAAACAUAGCAUGUGAAUCAUUUUAGGCAGUAUGAACAUAACUCUUACUAUGACUAGCAAUUUUCCUAUCAUAAAUAAAAGCAUGACACUUUUGAGAACUACUAGCCAUAGGGGCCUUCCCUUUCUCCUUGUUGAGAACGGGAGCCUUUUGGCUUGUUAAGUUCUUGGUUUCCUUUCGAAAACCAAGUCCGUCCUUAAUUGAGGGGUGUCCACCAACAGUGUAGGCAUCUCUAGCAAAUUUUAAUUUAUCAAAAUCAAUUUUGCAAGUCUUAAGUUGAGCAUUAAGACUUGACACCUCAUCAUUUAAUUUAGCAAUAGAAAUAAGGUGUUCAUCACAAGCAUUAACAUCAAAAUCCUUACAUCUAUUACAAAUAACAACAUGCUCUACACAUGAACUAGAUUUAUUAACUUCCUCUAGCUUAGCAUUUAAUUCAUCAUUUAAACUCCUUAAACUAGAAACAGAUUCAUGGCAAGCAGACAACUCAGAGGAUAGCAUUUCAUUUCUUUUAAUUUCUAGUGCAAGAGAUUUUUGAACACUAAUAAAUUUGUCAUGCUCUUCAUACAAAAUAUCUUCUUGCUUCUCUAGCAAUCUAUCCUUUUCAUUUAGAGCAUCAAUUAAUUCAUUAGUUUUUUCUACUUUGGCUCUAUCUAAUCCUUUAAAUAAACUAGAGUAAUCUACUUCAUCAUCGGAGGAUUCUUCAUCACUAGAUGAAGUAUACUUGGGUGUGUCCCGAACACGUACCUUUUUCUCCUUGGCCAUAAGACAUGUAUGGCGUUCGUUGGGGAAGAGUGAGUAUUUGUUGAAGGCUGAGAUAGCAAGUCCUUCGUCGUCAGAGUCGGAAGAGGAGCAGUCUGAGUCCCAUUCCUUUCCAAGGUGCGCCUCGCCCUUUGCCUUCCUGUAGUUCUUCUUUUUCUCCUUCUUCCCGCUCUUUUCUUGUCCCUGGUCACUAUCAUUAUCGGGACAAUUUGAAAUAAAGUGACCAGUCUUACCGCAUUUAAAGCAUGAACACUUUCUCCUUGUUUUAUUCUUGUUGGGGUAUUCCUUGCGUCCUUUAAGUGCGGUCUUGAAGCGCUUGAUGAUAAGCGCCAUUUCAUCUUCAUUUAGCCCGGCAGCUUCUACUUGUGCCACCUUGCUUGGUAGUGCCUCUCUGCUGCUGGUUGCUUUGAGAGCAAUGGGCUGUGGCUCAUAGACGGGUAGUGGACCGUUGAGUGCAUCAUCCAUGUAUCGAGCCUCCUUUACCAUCAUGCGCCCGCUCACGAAUUUUCCGAGGAUCUCUUUGGGCGUCAUUUUGGUGUACCUGGGAUAUUCAUGAAUAAGAUUUACAAGAUGGGGGGUCAAUUACAGUAAAUGACCUUAGCAUGAGUCGGACGACGUCAUGGUCCGUCCAUCUUGUGCUUCCAUAACUUCGAAUCUUGUUGACCAGGGUCUUGAGCCUGUUGUAGGUUUGUGUUGGCUCCUCUCCCAUGAUCAUCGCAAAUCUUCCCAGCUCACCUUCCACCAACUCCAUCUUGGUGAUCAUGGUGGCGUCGUUUCCCUCAUGAGAUAUCUUGAGGGUGUCCCAGAUUUGCUUGGCAUUGUCCAAGCCACUCACCUUAUUGUACUCAUCCCUGCAAAGAGAUGCUAGCAACACAGUAGUAGCUUGGGCAUUCUUAUGAAUUUGCUCAUUUAUAAAAAUGGCAUUGUCAGUACUAUCAAAGUGCAUUCCGUUUUCAACAAUUUCCCAGAUGCUAAGAUGGAGAGAAAAUAAACGACUACACAUUUUAUGACUCCAGAAAGAAUAGUCUUCUCCAUCAAAGUGUGGAGGUUUUCCAAGGGGAAUUGAAAGUAGAUGCGCAUUUGAAUUGUACGGCAUGCGGAAAUAAUCAAAUAAUCAAAAGGAUAGUUUUGAUUAACCAUCUUUUUCUUUGACGAAGAAUCAUCAUCGUCGUCGUCUCUUGGUGAAGAAGAAGAUGCAUCGCUGUCGUAGUAGAUGAUCUUCUUGAUGCACCUCUUCUUCUUCCCGUCCUUCUUCUUGUGACUCGAGCCUGAGUUAGUAGGCUUGUCUUCUCUUGGCUCGUUGAAGACGGACUCCUUUUCCUUGUCGUUGACCACCAUCCCCUUUCCCUUAGGAUCCAUCUCUUCGGGCGGUUAGUCCCUUAGAUGAAGAGUACGACUCUGAUACCAAUUGAGAGCACCUAGAGGAGGGGGGUGAAUAGGUGAUCCUGUAAAAUUAAACACUAAAUAGUCACAAAACUUAGUUAUAGAAGUGUUAGUGCGACUAAGUAGUUUUGAGGCGAGUUCUUAUGGACAAAACAAUCACAGAGAAAGCAAUCACAAGAAGCACGCGAUUUUAUCCCGUGGUUCGGCCAAGUAACACUUGCCUACUUCCACGUUGUGGCGUCCCAAUGGACGAGGGUUGCACUCAACCCCUUUCAAGUGAUCCAAUGAUCAACUUGAAUACCACGACUUUCUUCCUUAUAGUCUUUCUCCCGUUUGCAAGGAAUCUCCACAAGUUGGAGCCUCUCGCACUUACAAUAAAGAUCACAAAGAAGGCACAAGAGUAAGGCUAGGAGAGCAACACACAAAUCUGUAGCACACACACGCACACAAACCAAGACUUGAGCUCAAAACGUAGCACAAAGAGUUCACAACUCGAACGGAGCUCAAAUCACUAACACAAUCAAUCAAAAUGUGUGGAGGCGGAGUAUGGGAGUCUUAGAAUGCUUACUGAAUGCUUAGAUGGCUCCUCCAUGCGCCUAGGGGUCCCUUUUUGUCGGGGACCAUAAUUAGGGGUACCCUCAAGACUCCUAAAUCUCAGCUGGUAACCCCCAUCAGCACAAAGCUGCAAAGGCCUGAUGGGUGCGACUAAGUCAGGGAUCGGUCCAUUCGAGGGACGCGAUCACGCCUCGCCCGAGCCCAGCCUCGAGCAAGGGCAGCCAACCCCGGAGGAUUUACGUCUCGCCCGAGGACCCCCUACGGCAACGAACGCACCUUCGGCUCGCCCGAGGCUCAGUCUUCACCAAGAAGCAACCUUGGCCAAAUCGCCACGCCAACCGACCAAAUCGCAGGGGCAUUUAAUGCAAAGGUGGCAUGACACCUUUAUCCUGACGCGUGUCCUCCAGUUGACAGAGCCGAAGUGACCGUAGUCACUUCGCCGCUCCACUGACCGGCCUGACAAGAGGACACCGCUGCCUGCGCCGCUCCGACUGCUGUGCCACACGACAGAGUGAGGCUGACAGCAACCAAGCCCGGCCCCAGGCGCCAUAGGAAACUCCGCUUCGCCCGACCCCAGGGCUCGGACUCGGGCUCAGCCCCGGAAGACGACGAACUCCGCUCCGCCCGACCCCAGGGCUCGGACUCGGGCUCAGCCCUAGAAGACGACGAACUCCGCCUCGCCCGACCCCAGGGCUCGGACUCGGGCUCAGCCCCGGAAGACGACGAACUCCGCUCCGCCCGACCCCAGGGCUCAGACUCGGGCUCAGCCCCGGAAGACGACGAACUCCGCUCCGCCUGACCCCAGGGCUCGGACUCGGGCUCAGCCCCGGAAGACGACGAACUCCGCCUCGCCCGACCCCAGGGCUCGGACUCGGGCUCAGCCCCGAAGGACGAUGAACCCCGCUUCGCCCGACCCCAGGGCUCGGACUCAGCCCUGGCCUCAGCCGACGGUCUCCGCCUAGCCCGACCCAGGGGCUCGGACUCGACCUCGGCCUUGGAAGACAGACUCGACCUCGACCUCGGAGGAGUCUCCGCCUCGCCCAACCCAGGGCUCGGACCGACCACGUCAACAGGAGGCGCCAUCAUUACCCUACCCCAAGCUGACUCAGGCUACGGGGAACAAGACCGACGUCCCAUCUGGCUCGCUCCGCUAUACGAGUAAUGAUGGCGCCCCGCAUGCUCUAUGACGACGGCGGCUCUCAGCCCCCUUACGGAAGCAAGAAGACGUCAGCAAGGACUCGACAGCCCCGACAGCUGUCCUUCCGCUAGGCUCCGGCGCACCUCUGACGGCCAUGACACCACACGAACCGGGUGCCAAAACCUCUCCGGCUGCCACGAUGGCAUGUACUUAGGGCGCUAGCUCUCCCCCGCUAGACACGUUAGCACACUGCUACACCCCCCAUUGUACACCUGGAUCCUUUCCUUACGCCUAUAAAAGGAAGGUCCAGGGCCCUCUUACAGAAGGCUGGCCGCGCGGGGAAGGACGGGACGGCGCUCGCUCCCUCCCGCGUGGACGCUUGUAACCCCCUACUGCAAGCGCACCCGACCUGGGCGCGGGACAAACACGAAGGCCGCGAGAUUUCACCCCUCACGCCCGUCUCCCUCCGGCUUCUUCCCCCCUUCGCGCUCCGUCUCGCGCCGACCCAUCUGGGCUGGGGCACGCGGCGACAAUUUACUCGUCGGUCCAGGGACCCCCCGGGUUCAAAACGCCGACACUUUUAUAGCCCUAAGGCAGAUAGGAGCCAAUGGAGGCCAACUUGGAAGGCAAUUCGUGCCUUCUACCGAGUGGCACACCGGACAGGUCCUGUAGACGGUCCGGUGCGCGAUCUCCUUCCAAAUUUGGCAUAUCCGACCGUUGCUCCUCUGGGCUGAUUGGCGCACCGGACACUGUCCGGUGCACCAGCUGACCGUUGGAGCAGUCCACGUGUCGCGCGAAGAUUGCACGACCGACCGUUGGCGUUAGCGACCGUUGGCUCACCGGACAGUCCGGUGUGCCUGGUCAGUGUUGUUGUUGGCUGAACCUUUGCCAACCCUUUUUUCCUUUUCUUCUCUUCUUUUGUUGGCUCUAUUUUUAGCACUUAGAUAACCAUGUUAGUACAUAAAACAAUAUACUAAGUUUAGAACCAUACCUUUGUCUUUGAUUUGCACUUCUCACACAUUUUGCUCGUAAGGACUUAUUCAAUGUGUUGGCCACUUACUCACCAAAACAUUAUAGAAAUUGCCCGAGGGCACAUUUCCCUUUCACGUGCACCCCGGACGAUCCGCGAGGACGCUAAAAAUGCAUUUUUACCGAACCCGUCACCUUCGGGUUUUUCUGGUUUUUCAACAACCGGACGGUCCGCACUUGGUCUCAGACGGUGCUCGCUUCUCCAUCGGACGGUCCACAGUGUUAACUUGUGUUUUGCAGUGUUCCUGCCCGAGCUCACCCUGGUGUUGCGGACAGACUGUUUCAAAGGCACGAACGGUCCGCGCAUAGGUGUUUUUUCCAAAAAGCUUCUCCUGUCCGGAAUAUUCUACGGUAUUCCGGGCAGUCGACUUAGAUAGUUGUGGAUAAACUUAUGCACCUGAGAAAUGAUCAACUAGGAAAACUAGUUAGUCCACGUGGUUUGUGAUGGACGUCAAACACCAAAAACGAUUAUAGGAAAUGAUUAAGCUCAUUUCCCUUUCAAUCUCCCCCUUUUUGGUGAUUAAUGCCAACACAAACCAAAGCAAAUAUAAAGUGUAGGAAUGUAACUAGUUUGUAAUUUUGACAGAUGUGCAUAAGUUACUUUGAAUUUAAAUGGAUUGAAAGUACUUCUGAGUAUAAAUGAUUGUUUUCUUCUAGUUUAACAUUUUGGGCCACAUUUGCACCACUUAGCUUGUUUUUGCAAUCUUUUGGAAAAGUCUUUUCAAAUUCUUUUGCAAAUAGCCAAUGGUAUAAGAAUAUGGUUUCAAAAAGCAUUUUCAAGAUUUUGAAAAUUAUCCCCAUGUUUCAAAUGCUUUUCCUUUGGCUAAAUAAAAGCUUCCUCUGAAGAAGUUCUCCGCCCCUUAACCGUUAAGAGGGUUUUUGCAAUUGAAAUAAUUUCUUCCCCUUUGUGAAAUAGUUUUUGACAAGUUGAAAAUGGGUGAUGGCGCGGUCCUUUUGCUUUGGGCAUAUUACUUUCUCCCCCUUUAGCAUUAAUCACCAAAAAUGAAGAAACUUGAGAGGCCUUUUAAUUCUCUCCCUUUUGGUCCUAUUUUAUCCCCCUUUGAUAAAAGGAUAUGAGUGAAAGUUUAUGAGGAGGGCAAAGGAUAAGUGACACUGACAGAGUUGUAGUGGAAGCCUUGCCUUUGCCGAAUACUCCAUUUCCCUUUCAAUCUAAGACUUAAUCACAGAAAUACUCAUGGAAGCACAUUAGUCUUAGCUUCGGCACAAGAAGAAUAAGAAAUAUGCAUUUGUACCAAAGGAAAGAGACAUGAUCAAAGGUAUAUAAAUUAGCAAUAUGUGCAAUGUUUCAAUCAAAGUUUCGAGAAUCGAGAAUAUUUAGCUCAUUCCUAAGUUUGCUAAAAGUCUUUUCAUCUAGGGGCUUGGUGAAGAUAUUAGCUAAUUGGUUGUGGGUGCUAACAUAAGCAAUUUCAAUAUUCCCCUUUUGUUGGUGAUCUCUCAAAAAGUGGUACUGGAUGCCUAUGUGCUUAGUGCGAAUGUGUUCAAUGGAAUUAUCCGCCAUGUGGAUUGCACUCUCAAUAUCACAUAGGAGAGGGAGUUUGCUCAACUUGUAGCCAUAGUCCCUAAGGGUUUGUCUCAUCCAGAGUAAUUGUGCACAACAAUGUCCUGCAACAAUAUACUCGGCUUUGACGGUGGAUAGAGCCACUGAGUUUUGUUUCUUUGAAGCCCAAGACACCAGAGAUUUUCCCAGAAACUGACAAGUCCCUGAUGUGCUCUUCCUAUCAAUUUUACAUCCGGCAUAAUUGGCACCGGAAUUCCCAAUUAAAUCAAAGGUAUAUCCCUUGAGAUACCAAAGCCCAAACUUAGGAGUGUAAACUAAAUAUCUCAUGAUUCUUUUCACGACCCUAUGGCGAACUUCCUUAGGAUUUGUCUGGAACCUUGCACACAUGCAUAUUGAAAGCAUAAUAUCUGGUUGUGAAGCACAUAAAUAGAGUAAAUAACCUAUCAUCGAUCGAUAUACCUUUUGAUGUACGGAUUUACCUCCCGUGUCGAGGUCGAGAUGCCCAUUUGUUCCCAUGGGAGUCUUGAUGGGUUUGGCAUUCUUCAUUCCAAACUUCUCGAGUAUGUCUUGAAUGUACUUAGUUUGGUUGAUGAAGGUACCUUCUUGGAGUUGUUUGAUUUGAAAUCUGAGGAAAUACUUCAACUCCCCCAUCAUAGACAUCUCGAAUUUCUGUAUCAUAAUCCUAUUGAACUCUUCACGAGAUGACUUGUUAGUAGACCCAAAUAUAAUAUCAUCAACAUAAAUUUGGCAUAUAAACAAAUCUUUAGCAAUUGUUUUAGUGAAGAGAGUAGGGCCAAUUUUACCAACUUUGAAGCCAUUAGUGAUAAAAAAAUCUCUCAGGCAUUCAUACCAUGCUCUUGAGGCUUGCUUGAGCCCAUAAAGCACCCUUGAGAGCUUAUAAACAUGUGUAUGAUACUCACUAUCUUCAAAGCCGGGAGGUUGCUCAACAUAUACCUCUUCCUUGAUAGGGCCAUUGAGGAAGGCACUCUUCACGUCCAUUUGAUAUAUCUUAAAGCCAUGGUAAGUAGUAUAGGCAAGUAAUAUACGAAUUGACUCAAGCCUAGCUACGGGUGCAUAGGUUUCAUCAAAAUCCAAACCUUCGACUUGUGAAUAACCUUUGGAAACAAGUCAGGCUUUGUUUCUAGUCACCACACCAUGCUCAUCUUGUUUGUUGCGAAAUACCCACUUGGUACCUACAACAUUUUGGUUAGGACGUGGAACUAAAUGUCAUACCUCAUUCCUCGUGAAGUUGUUGAGCUCCUCUUGCAUUGCCACCACCCAAUCCGGGUCUCUUAGUGCAUCCUAUAUCUUGUAUGGCUCAAUAGAAGACACAAAAUAGUAAUGUUCACAAAAAUGAGCAACUCGAGAUCUAUUGGUUACCCCCUUGUGGAUGUCACAAAGUAUGGAGUUGACGGGGUGAUCUCUUUGAAUUGCUUGGUGGACUCUUAGGUGCAGUGGUCUUUGGUCUUGAAUCUCUUGAUCAUCUUCCAUGUCUUCAUUAUCUUCAUCUCCUCCUUGAUCAAUGUCAUCUUCUUGAGGUGGCUCAUCAUCUUGGUCUUGAUCCUCAUCCUCUUGAGCCAUUUCCUCAUCUUGAGUUGGUGGAGAUGUCUGUAUGGAAGAUGAUGGUUGAUCUUGUGCUUGUGGAGGCUCUUCGGACUCUUUUGGACACACAUCCACAAUAGACAUGUUCCUUAGUGCGAUGGAUGGAGCCUCUUCAUCAUCUUUUUCAUCAAGAUCAACUUGCUCUACUUGAGAGCCAUUAGUCUCAUCAAACACAAUGUCACAAGAAACUUCAACUAAUCCAGGGGAUUUGUUGAAGACUCUAUAUGCCCUUGUGUUUGAGUCAUAAUCGAGUAAAAAAAUUUCUACUACUUUAGGAGCAAAUUUAAAAUUUCUACAUCUCUUAAUAAGAAUAAAGCAUUUGCUCCCAAAAACUCUAAAAUACAAAACAUUGGGCUUUUUACCGGUGAGGAGUUCAUAUGAUGUUUUCUUGAGGAUUCGGUGAAUGUAGAGUCGGUUGAUGGAGUAGCAAGCGGUGUUAAUCGCCUCCGCCCAAAACCGAUCUGGUGUCUUGUACUCAUCAAGCAUGGUCCUUGCCAUGUCCAAAAGAGUUCUAUUCUUCCUCUCCACUACACCAUUUUGUUGAGGUGUGUAGGGAGAAGAGAACUCAUGCUUGAUGCCCUCUUCCUCAAGAAAUCCUUCAAUUUGUGAAUUCUUGAACUCUGGUCCAUUGUCGCUACUAAUCUUCUUGAUUCUCAAUCCGAACUCAUUUUGAACCCGUCUUAAGAAUCCCUUUAAGGUCUCUUGGGUUUGAGAUUUUUCCCGCAAAAAGAAUACCCAAGUGAAGCGAGAAUAAUCAUCCACAAUAAUAAGACAAUACUUACUCCCGCCGAUGCUUAUAUAAGUGAUCAGGCUGAAUAGAUCCAUGUGAAGUAGUUCAAGCGGUAUGUUGGUCGUCAUGAUGUUCUUGUUUGGAUGAUGAGCUCCAACUUCCUUCCCUACUUGACAUGCGCUACAAAUCCUGCCUUUCUCAAAAUAAACAUUUGUUAGUCCUAAAAUGUGUUCUCCCUUUAGAAGCCCGUGAAGAUUCUUUAUCCCAACAUGGGAAAGUCGACGAUGCCAGAACCAACCCAUAUUAGUCUUAGCAAUUAAGCAAGUGUCUAGUUCAACAUUUUUAUCAUUAAAAUCAACUAAGUAUAGCUGACCAUCUAACACUCCCUUAAAAGCUAUUGAAUCAUCACUUCUUCUAAAGACAGUAACACCAACAUCAGUAAGGAGACAGUUGUAGCCAAUUUUACAUAAUUGAGAAACUGAAAGCAAGUUGUAAUCUAAAGAAUCUACAAGAAAAACAUUGGAAAUGGUCAGGAGAUAUAACAAUUUUACCCAAACAUUUGACCAAACCUUAUUUCCAUCCCCGAAUGUAAUUGCUCUUUGGGGAUCAUCAUUUUUCUCAUAUGAGGAGAACAUUCUUUUCUCCCCUAUCUUGUGGUUUGUGCACCCGCUAUCGAUUAUCCAACUUGAUCCACCGGAUGCAUAAACCUACAAAACAAAUCUAAGCCUUGUUAUUAGGUACCCAAAUGGUCUUGGGUCUUUUCACAUUAGAAACAAGCACCUUGGGUACCCAAACACAAGUUUUUGGGCUUUUGUGUUUGUCCCCAACAUAUUUGGCAACUACUUUGUCUGAUUUGUUAGUUAGGACAAAAGAUGCAUCAAAAGUUUUAAAUGAAAUGCAAUGUUCAUUUGAUGCAUUAGCAAUUUUCUUUUUAGGCAUUUUGAUAUGAGUUGGAUGCCUAGAGCUACAAGCCUCAUUACUAUACAUGUAAGCAUGAUGAGAAACAAAAUGAGGUUUUCUAGCAUAAAUUUUCCUAAUUUUGUGCUUAGGAUAGUUCUCACGAUAUAAAAUGUAACCCUCUCUAUCCUGAACCCAUGGGAGCCUUACCCUUAACAAAAUUAGAUAGUCUGUUCUUGGGGGCAUUAAGCUUGAUGUUGCUUUGGCUCCCUUGUUGGAAGCCAAUGCCAUUCAUAUGCAUGGGCGUCUCCCAUUAUAAAGCAUUCUACGAGCAAAUUUAAAUUUCUCAUUUUCUAACUCAUGCUUGACAAUUUUAGCAUUUGAUUUAGUUAUGUGAUCAUUUUGUUCUUUAAUCAUGAUAAGGUGAUCAAUCAUAGCAUCAAUAUUAAUAUCUCUACAUCUAGUGCAAAUUGUGACAUGCUCAACAGUAGAUGUAGAAACAUUGCAAACAUUCAAUUCUUCUAUCUUAGCAUUUAAACUAACAUUUUCAGUUCUAAGACAGGAAAUUGAAUCAUUGCAAAUAUCAAGCUCUUUAGAUAAAAUUUCACAUUUUCUACUUCAAGAGCAUAAGCAUUUUUUAGUCUAACAAACUUCUUAUUUUCCUUAACGAGCAAGUCCUCUUGGCAUUCCAAGAGACCAUCCUUCUCUUUAAUGGUUUCUAUCAAUUUGUUUUUCUUUUUCUUUUGAUCCUUGUUAAGGUUGGCAAAAAGAGAAGUUAAAUCAUCUUCACUAUCACUAGAGCUACCCUCAUCAUCGGAAGUAGUAUAUUUAGGGGUAUCUCUAGAAUGUACCUUCUUCUUUUUGCCGUCCUUAGCCAUGAGGCACUUGUGGCCGACGUUGGGGAAGAGAAGACCCUUGUUGAUGGCGAUGUUGGCAGCGUCCUCGUUGGAGGAGGAGUCGGUGGAGCUCUCGUCGGAGUCUCAUUCCCGUCCGAUGUGCGCCCCGCCACCCUUCUUCUUGUAGUAUCUUUUCUUCUCCAUCUUCUUCUUCUUCCCUUUCUUGUCGUCGUCCCUGUCACUGUCACUUGUAUAUGGACAUCUAGCUAUAAAGUGACCAGACUUACCACACCUAUAGCUAACCCUCUUGGAGCGGGGUUUGUAGUCCUUCCCCUUACUUUGCUUGAGAAUUUGCUGGAAGCUCUUGAUGAUAAGAGCCAUCUCCUCACUGUCGAGCUUGGAGGCAUCGAUUGGGAGUCUACUUGGUGUAGACUCUUCCUUCUUUUCUUCUGUUGCUUUGAAUGCAAUGGGUUGCACCUCGGGUGUGGAGGUGGCACCUUGCUCCAAGUUGACAAUAUGUUUGGAGUCUUUGAUCAUAAGUUCAAAGCUUACAAACUUGCCAAUUACUUCCUCAGGGGACAUCUGUUUGUAUCUAGAAUCUCCAUGAAUUAAUUGAACUUGAGUAGGAUUACAAAAAACAAGAGAUCUUAGAAUAACCUUGACCAUUUCAUGGUCAUCCCACUUGGUGCUCCCGAGGUUGCGAACUUGGUUGACUAUGGUCUUGAGCCGGUUGUACAUUGCUUGUGGCUCCUCUCCUUUGUUGAGGACGAAUCGACCAAGCUCUUCUUCAAUAGUUUCGCGCUUGGUGAUUUUGGUCACCUCGUCCCCUUUGUGCGCUGUUUUGAGGACAUCCCAAAUUUCUUUGGCAUUUUCAACCCUUGCACCUUAUUAUACUCCUCUCAACACAAGGAGGCGAGGAGUAUAGAAGUUGCUUGGGAAUUAAAAUGCCUUAUUUGGGCGGCCUCAUCGGAGUCAUAAUCCUCGUCGCCCACCUGUGGUGUCUGCGCUCCAAACUCAACAAUAUCCCAUAUGCUUUCGUGGAGUGACGUUAGAUGGUGCCUCAUUUUAUCACUCCACAUACAAUAAUCUUCACCAUCAAAAUAUGGUGGUUUGCCUAGGGGUACGGAAAGUAGAGGAGCAUGUUUUGGAAUGCGAGGAUAGCGUAGAGGCAUCUUACUAUACUUCUUGCGCUCUUGGUGCUUUGAAGUGGUAGACUCGGCAUUAGAUGUGGAAGGUGAUGAAGAGUCGAUCUCGUAGUAGACCACCUUCUUGUCACCCUUCCUAUGUGACUUGAUGGAGGAGGCGGAUUCCUCCUUGUGCUUGUCGCCGGCCUCCUUUGACAGAGUCCGUUCAUCGUUCUUCCUUCCCGAGCCUUUGAGCUUUUCGCCGAUGACCAUCUCCCUCUUGGCGUGUUCUCCCGACAUCACUUCAAGUUAUUAGACUCUAAUGAAGCACUGGGCUCUGACACCAAUUGAAAGUCGCCUAGAGGGGGUGAAUAGGUGAAACCUAAAAUUUAUGAACUUUAAACACGCACUAUGCCUAGGGUUAGUGUUAGAAAUAAUUUGGAGUGCGGAGGAUAGUUCUCCUUGCUAGGAGUUGCUCAAUCAAUGUGAAUAACUUUGGGAGCCAACUCAAAUCAAUAUGAGCAAGGGAACUUUAGAGAGAGGAAGGGAGGGGAACAAAUCGAGUGGAGAUCAACACGAAUGAAUACGGUGAUCUGUUUACCGAGGUUCGGUUCCAAAUAACCUAGUCCCCGUUGAGGAGGCCACAAAGGCCGGGUCUAUUCCAACUCUUUCCCUCUCUCAAUUGGUCACUUAGACUGGUUGAGUGCUUCUCCUUAAUCACACGGGUCACUAAGACCCCGCAAGGAUCACCACACAAUUAUGUGUCUCUUGCUUGCUUUACAUUUCACUAAGAAGGUUGAGAAAGAGAUGAAGAAAGAAUGAUUACGAAAACCAAGCAACAAGAGUGACAAACAACACACAGAUCACACUCUCUCGUCACUCAGCACUAAUGAUCACUUUGUCUUAAUUGUGGGACUUAGAGAGAUUGGAAGCUUUGAAUGUGUCUUGGAAUGAAUUGCUAGCUCUUGUAUUGAAUGUGAAUGAGUAGAGUGCUUGGAUGAUGUGAAUGGAGGUGGUUGGGGUUGUAUUUAUAGCCUCCAACAACUUCCUAGUCGUUACUCCUUUUAUACCGACCGUGGACGGUCCGCACCCCCUGUCUAGACGGUCCGCCCCUGCACAUCAACGACUGAAAUCGCAACGAUCAGCAGUAACAACUAUAUCAACGGCUAUAGUGCAUUUAAUGCGUCAUCAGAUGUCGGAUAAAAUAGUCGCGGACGGUCCGGCCGUGCACCUUGGAUGGUUCGCGAGGACGCUUAAAAUGCAUUUUACCGAACUUGUCACCUUCGGUUUUCUGGGUUUUCAACAACCGGAUGGUCCGCGCCUGAGGCGGACGGUCCGCACUUGGUCUCGGAUGGUGCUCGCUUCUCCAUCGAACGGUCCGUAGUGUUAACUUGUGUUUUUGCAGUGUUUCUGUCCAAGGCUCACCCUGGUGUCGCAGACGGUCCAUUGCAAGGGCCCGGACGGUCCGUGCAUAGGUGUUUUUUUUCCAAAAAGAUUCUCCUGUCCGGAAUAAUCUAAGGUAUUCCUGAUAGUCGACUUAGAAUAGUUGUGGAUGAACCUACGCACUAAGAAAUGAUCAACUAGGCAAACUAGUUAGUCCACGUGGUUUGUGAUGGACGUCAAACACCAAAAUCGAUUAUAGGAAAUGAUUAAGCCCAUUUCCCUUUCACACAUGAAAAAGCUGUCUUGAGGGUGAAUAGGCAAAAUCUAAAAUUAUUACUCAAAUAACAAACUUUGAUUUGGAUAUUAUCACUUAAGCCGUUAGAACAAAAAAAUAUAGCUGAGAUAAUGUCUAAGGUAAAUAAUUGCAAAGUUGAUAGCAAAAACUUAGGUGUGGGAAAAUGAUUAGCAACAAUAUUAGCGAUGAAGCUCAAAUGAUAAGUAAAGCAAGUAUUAACUUGGAAGAGGAAAGACAAAUGCAAAUGGGAAGGAGAAUGCAUAAGAUACACAUGAUUUGUUUACCGAAGUUCGGUUUCACAAAGAAACAUAUGUCUCCCUCAAGGAGUUCACAAAGAACCGAGUCUCUUUCAACCCUUUCAUCAAUCAAGUGAUCACUAAGAUGAGCUGGAGUCCUUUCUUUCUCAAUGGGUUAUAGUAACUCUCAUAAGACUCUCCACACAAAGCCAAAGGCUCUUGAUUGCGUUACAACUUUAGGAGCAACAACUACACACAAGUUGAUCACAAAAAUUCUCUCCUUUCUCAAAAUCACAACUCAACUCAAGUGCUCUAGCAACUCUAUUGUUGUUCUAGCUGAAAAAGAUGUCUAUACUAAUCACACUUUUCUUUUGGGACACUUUGAUGGCUUGGAUGGUUUGGAGAUGAUCUCUUCACUUGUAUAUGAUGUUUCUUAGCUCAUGGAUGGAGUUGUGCCCGGUUGGGGUGGUAUAUAUAGGCUCCCCACUCAAAUAUAGUUGUUUGAACCUCACUCACAAUUCAGCAUACUCAUCAAACAUGCUCGGUGGUGCACCGAACUGUCUGGUGUCAUCUCAUAGUUAACUGUUGGAUAAAGAUGUCAGACUGCCAGUCUGUCAGAGUUCAUCUAACAUGUCUAGUGUGCUAUCAGACAUACCACAUCAGAUAGUCGUUGAAGCCUUCUCACAGACGACUACUAAGCACCAUGUAUCUAGUAUACCAUCAGACAUGUCUGGUGUAGUAUGUUUGACUUGGUUCAAAAUACAAACUAUCUGAUUGUCGUGUCAUGUGUGCCAUCCAGUGCAACAUCGGACAUGUCAGGUGCCUUAUUAUGACUUUCUCCAUUUCAACACCCUCUCUGAGUGUCAAAUCCGAUGGAGCGUUCAGGGUGCCAUCAGAUACAUUUGAUGUCCUCUAUAUCUCAAAGUCCAAAUUUAGCAUCUCUACAGCUUGUAUCCGGUGCACCCACCAAAUGCAUCUGGUGUUCUCUAGGCUAUUCCGAGUUAUUUCUUCGAGUUCUAAUGCUUGGGCUUGCUUUUGUGUUGUGUCUUGGACUUUUGUGUGACUUAGACAAAUCUUCAAUAAGUCCCUUAAAGUCCCUCUAAGUUCUUUGCAUGAUAAUAUGUCUAAGUUGAUCUUAUGAAUUACUUUGCACAUUUUUGUCCAAGUCUAUGCUGCAUCCUUUUAACUAAAUAAUAUAUCACUUAGCAGAGUUGUUAGUCCAAUUAAUUAUUUUGAUCAUCAAACACCAAAACCGAUAUAGAAGUGCUCCAAGGUCCAUUUCCCUUACAACAUGUCCAGGACGUGAGUGGCACACAUAUAGUACACUACCUGUGGAGGUUUGGUGGUUGAGCCUUAAAACCACCCAGCGACAGCUUUUGUGGGUCUCAAAAUCUGGUGGCAUGGUUCUGGAGGGAAUCAAAGGUCACACAUGGAGCCCUCACGGAGGUUGCAUCAAGGCAAAGCAGAUUCAUACAGGAAGUGUCCCUACCUGAUAAUCAUAUCAAGAAUUGGUCCAUUUUGCCCCUGACUGAGUGAAUAAGCUCUAUGUAUUUAGGGGUAGUUAGGAAUGUGAAAACCCCUCUAUAAAUAUGGAGGAAGGGCUACACCAACCAACUAUCUCUCUAGUUUUUGGUUUUUGCUCUCUAUUUUCUUGUAUUAACAGAUCCAUAGGUGCUCUUGUUUCGACACUUAUGCUCUUGUGAUUUGGGAAGUGUUGCCUUAACCACACCAUGAAAUUUACUGUAUAUCUUUGAGGUAUCUCUCUAUGAAUUUUUGAUGGCUUGAAGCUCUCUCUUUUAAAAUUCUUUUUGAGCGCUUCAUUUCAAUAUUUUUAGAGAAAAUUAGAUUUAGAGUUGUUAGAGUCAUUUGGGGUAAUUAAAACAUGCUAGACCUCCAAUGAUCAUUACCACCAAGUGGUAUGGGCUAAUUUUAUGUGGAGCAUGAAUUUCCAAUCCCUUGAGCCAUUUUGAGAAAACCCCAUUUCAAAAUCGUAUUUUUAUCCGACUUUAAAAUUUUCAAAUAUUUUUUGAACUCAAAUUUUAUGAACACCUCUGAAACUUAGUGGUGAAGGCGUGUGCAAAAUUUCAACCCAAUCAGAGUCCCUUUUGAUCUAUUUUGUACUUUAGAACUUUGAUUCAAGCUGCUGAAAACAGCUUGAGCGAGCGACAUUGCUUUAGGAAGUUUUAGAUUUUGGUGUUUAUUUUGCGAUCAGUUUGUUUUGAACUCAUGUAUGCUUCAGGAACAUUUCCAAAACAUGCAAUCACUAGUUGGUUGGGAUGUUUUUUGGUUUUCCAUUCUCUUCAUCUCCAUUAAGUGUUCAAUUUCCUAGUUCUGGAAGGUUUUCCUUGCAAACAUAUUUGUCGCAGAAUUGAUCACUUCACUAUGUUCUUUGAUCAUCGCCCAGAAAAUCUAGCAACUAGUUGGUGCUUAUGUGUCUCUUUUGUGUCUUUGGAGUUUUGGAGGUUUGGGUAUAGUUUUGGGAAGCAAGCCAAGAUUGCCUAAGAACAAAGAAAUUUCAUUGGCACCCAUUCACAAUCCUCUGGUCUCCUGCUUUGAUUAUUCAAAUCCUAAAAAUGAAUAACAUGAAUAGGGCCACAUAAUCCAUAUUUGUCCGAACAAUCAUCAUUAACAUGACGUAACUCAUAUUAUCUUACAAAAUAUACAUUAGUCAUAAUAAUCUAGCGAUGUCAUUAAUCACCAAAAACUAAUAAGGGGCCUAAAUGCUUUUAGCACCCAUGGCUACUUGGGGGCUUUAUUUGGAUGGCUUCAAACUUGGCAGAUAGGCUAGGUGAGUCAACCGUGCGCGGCUUGUGCAACAAAAUGUUGACAAAGAAUACAAAGGUGCUAAGAGGUCUAACUGUUGGGCCAGAGCACCAAGGUGUCAAUAUGUACCGGCAUUGGAUAUCCACAUUAGCAAAACCAGCCUAGAACCACCUCAAGGGGUAUAGAUGGCUUAAACAUGUUUAAGGGGAAAAUACAUGUUUUAUAGUCCGUGAGCGAAGUAGACACCAUGCCAAAUGUCAAGGGGCUAUAUAGACUUUUCUUUUCCAAUACAACGAAUGAUCAAAUAGAAUGCAUACAUGGAGUUUUACUCAGUUUUCGAAUGUGUUGGUGAUAACAUGCACUAGUUUGAAUUAGAUGAUACUCAUAUACUCUCCCUUAUGUAUAUUCUCUGUGAUGUCAUCGUUUGUAUCAAUGUGUUGCCUUAGACCGUGUCCAACAGUUCACCCAUAUGGUUACCCAAAACAUGUUUUGCACUGCUUUGCAUUGUAGACCGCAGUGUUCGCAGAAUGGAGUUUGAACAUGGGUAUGUGAAUGGGUAAGUUGCUGGAGAUAGACUUACUAAUUUAGGAAUGAAACACUAUAUUUCGCGGAAUGAUAGAUUAAGGAUAAAAGUGGCAUAGAUAGUCCUUCAAUCUAAAUCUAAUUCUUAAUGGUAUAGAUAAGAACUUUUGAUAUCAGUGAUCAAAUCAGUGAAAUUCGAUAGAUAUAGAUUAGGCUUAUUAUUGGAUAACGCAUAUUACUUUAUUGACCCUAAAUUCCCAACAUUUCAAUUCAUCUUAUCUCUCUCACAACCCCCCUUCAUAGCUUGCGUGUCCAGGUAUAUCCAACAAGUUUGUUACAUUGAGUAUUUCAUAUUAUACUAAUUCUUUUUAUGACUUUGGUUAUCGAAUUUUUUUAUAAUAAAAGAAGGCAUUCUUAUACAUGUCGAGAAAACACUCGAACCCUAUUCUUUGGUGUGGAAUAGAGAGGGAUUUUUUAACCACAACCUGAAAUUCACUCCCACGGAGAGUCGAACUCAAGAUCUGAGGAGUGCUACUUGAAAGGGAAAUGUUCGAUAGGGCCAUUUCUACCUUAUUUUGGUGAUUAAGUGUCCAACACACCACAUUGGACUAACUUUGUUGAUAUGAGUAUGAGCAUAGAUCCAUAAAAGGCAAUUUGAAGAGAUCAAGUCCAAAAGAGCUCAAACAGGGGGUCCAAAUAUGCAACUUGGAGUAAAAUGGUAUAUUUGUGAGGUUUGCACCUUUAUACAUGUUGCAUAAGUCCAUUCCAAUGUUUCUAUUGCUUGUGUUUGGGCUCUAAACCCUUAUGUAGAGAAAAGUGCUUCUUGGGUUUGAGUUGAGCCACAUUGCAAAUCAUGAUGAAUCAAUGGUAAGGCGGUAUGGUCCCACACUUAGUCAAUUGGAUUAGAUGAUAAUUAUGUGUUUCUAAGUCGUAGGAAAUCUACCAAGGACAACCAAAAAGAGUUGGAGGAGAUAGAAUCAAAAGAGCCAAGUCUGGGAUGCUUUAGGACUCACCGGACCACGUCCACAGGGGCUCGGGACUUGGUUCUUCCGCGGCCUGGGUCACCAGACCGUUCAGUGGCACACCGGACCGCUUGUACGACCAAAGUUGGAGGUCUCGAGAAUUAUUUUUAUGAUCCACCAGACCGUGAACAACACCCGGUUUGGUGUGCAUCAGACCGCUUCUCCAACGACUAUCUUCAACGGCGCGUGGGCGACACAACGACUAGCUGACGUGGCACAUGGUCCGGUGGCGCAUCGGAUUGGUCUGGUGCCACUCAGCUAAGGAAGGCUCCAAUCAGAAUCCUGAGUGUGAGGCUACAAGACCCGGUUCAGUGUGCACUAGAUCAGUCCAGUGCGUUCGUAGUCAGACAGAUUUUGGCUGCUUUUACAAGGAAGGAGGCAACGACUCUUGGCUCCUUUGGGGCUAUAAAAGGAUCCCAUGGCGGCUCCAUUCAGCACCCAAGUACUCCAAGAGCACACCAACACUCCGACUCUUUGCAACAAAGUGUUCCAGUGAUUUAGUGAGACCCGAGUGACAUUUCUGAGCUGUUCUCGCGUCUUUAUGACUUUGUGCACUCGUGAUCUUUUCUUUUGUGUGUGUAUUUUUUCUCCCUACCUUACUCUUAGUUGCAACUUCGAUCUUUUGUAAGGCUGCAAGAGAUUCCAAAUUGUGGAGAUUCGUUGCGAACGUGAAUAUUUGUGAUAUAAGGAAGAACUGUGACACUCCAGUUUGAUCUACGUGAUCACUUGAGAGGGGUUGAUUGCAACCCUAGUCAAAGGAGGAAAUCACAAUGUGGAUGUAGGCUUUACCGAACCACGAGAUAAAAAUCGUUGUCUCACUUGUCUCUUUAAUUUCUUGCGAUUUUCUUUCUUUCUAAGUUCUCAACCUCACUUGUAAUAUUGCUCUUAGUUUAAUUCACAUCUUAAAAGAGCAAAGUGAAGAGGACCUUUUCUCUCUUCUCUUCUCUUCUCUUCUCUUCUCCCAAACUUGGUUUUAGUUUACACUAACUUUUUUAGACCAAAUUUGUGUUGUUUUAAAUCAUUUUUGCAGGAUCACCUAUUCAUCCCCUCUAAGUGCUAUCAUUACCGAGACCACGUAACCAACUCAACUAGAGGCCUAUUCACACAUAUUCGUUGUAGUUUUUUUUGGAUACCUAGGUUUUAAUAGCAUCCUAUCUUAUAAUAUUAAAUGAAGGGAGUAUUAUUCAACUAUUCUCGCAUCUAAAUUUUUUACAUUCAUAUAUGAAUCUAAGUAAUUUUUGUUUUACUUAAAAUUCGAUAAACAAAAAUAUAUUAUUAUGAAAAGAAAACAUCAUCCACCCUACUCGAGUUUGGUUAGGCUAUCUUCGUAAACUCAAAUAUAGGGGUGAUAAUAGAUUACGAUCUAAAUGUUUUCUCGUAUAAGUCAAUACACUUAAUUAAUUUUAAUUCAAAAAUAAAUAAAAAUAAAGCUUGAUACUAAUCUGAUUCGAUCAUUACAUAUUAUGAUGUAAAAUUUAUAUCACAUUGUCUUAUCCCAGCUUCUAUUUUAAACUAUAUUUUUAGUAUAAAAUAAUAUUUUACACGAUCAUAUCCACCACCGGCCAUAUACAUCAGCUCAAAGUCGUGUUGCGUACAUCCAAAUACGACAAGAAAGCGCUCGCUUCUUGUCAGAAAUCAGAUACACACACAUUCUCAACGGCUACGCAGGUCACAGCUAGCCUGCCACGCUCUCAUCUCCACGCAAAGUUCUCAAGGGCCUUUGUAGAAAUGUGCCCUCCUCGAACUGCAACUACCUUUCUUUUUUUUAGCCAAUUUUUCCUUCGAAGGGACGAAAAGCGCAGACAAGAGAGAGAAAUCGGAAUCCAAGCGCAACCAAAAGAGAAGAGGGCAGACACGAGGGAGCGCGUGGGGGGAGAGGGCAUGGUCUCUCUCGUCCCGGCAGUCCCGUCUCAAGCAAAAGCUCUCUCCUCUUCUUCCGCUCAGGUGAGUCUCCAGCCCCAUUCGAUUCGAUGUGCUAAGGAUCGGACAUUGGGCGUGACAAGCGGCGAUGCCCUUGUCUGGGUCUCGCACUCGCCUGUGUCGGUUUGGUCCUCUGAUUCGGAGGCGGUUGAGGGAUUGGUGGGCGUCUUCCUGGAUUUGGGUCGCAUUUUGCUGGAUUUUUGUGGGACUCGACGUCCGAGCUAUGCCUGAUCCUCUCCGUUUCGCCUCCCGUCUGGGCUACGCUUGAUUUGAUCGGUUUUUGUGCCUGCCAAGGGAGAAGUUAAAGUAGUCUUUGUUGCAGGUUGCUGCAUUUUUCAAUAUAUUGUUCUAUGCUGCACUUUGAGUGGAGUUUUGGGGCUUCUAGGUCAAUCCGUGUGUAUGUUCAAAGGCGCUGCUGCUUGUAUUUGCCACAAAUCAUAGAGUGCUGUAAAAUGCCACCUUUACUUAAUUGUCAUUUACCCCUUCCUGCUUCCGUUCAGCCAAACAGUGUUCAAUAAUGGUGGUGGUAGGCUACCACCACCACCACUGGUAGCCUUCUUAUUUGUUUCAUUUUACAGAAUUUGAGAUGCGCAUCUUUAGAGUUGGUAUAAGGCGAUUACCGGUGCUUUCAUGUGGAGUGAACACUCUUUACUUCCUUAUUAGGCCCACUGCAUAUAUUCGAUCAGGCUGCCCAUUUAGUUCGUGACUUGUUUCUAUUUUUGAAUCAGUACAUAAUAUAGAUUAAUGUCAAUUCGUUUCAGAUUUUUUUCCAAUUAAUAUGUUGAAGGAUUUCUAUCAACUUCACAGUGAUAUACCGAUGCUAUUGGUACUUGUCAAGUCAUGAUCUUGGCUAGCAAUGUAUCUAUGAUAUCAAUGAGAUUAUGAGAAAGGCAACUGCCACCGCGUAGAGUAAUGACUGACAGAAUAUAGUGGGUGUCCUAUUGACCUUAUCAUAUCAGUGAGAUUGUUUAUUGCAUUAACCACUGGAUUUCAUAAAUUUUGCUCAUGAUGCUUAUUUCCAAUCUUCACAUGGACACUUCUGUAUAUCUUUGUUCUUGCCUAAACUACUUGCAUGUGCUAGCGCUUUGUUGCAUAAGCGCCACUAACAUUGCUUUAAAUUCCGGCAAUUGUAACAUUGAGUUUCUCGGUUGAGUGAUCGUAUUCAUCGCCCUUGUGUUUUAACUUAAGUUUUAAGCAGAAGUGAUUUUUUGACUUCUAUGUAUAGUGCACCAAUCACUGCAACAUACUGGCCUGAGGUCAUUGAGUUGGUGAAAGGGAAGGAGGGGGUAUCAUGGGCAUCUCAUCCAAGUGGAUUAAAUCCUUGGUUGGCAUAAGGAAGCAAGAAAAAGCGCAGAAUGCAGAAAAGCAAGAAAAAGGGUGGAACGCUGAGAGCAGUGAAACUGUAAGUCAUGACAUUCCACUUAGGUUUAUUAUUUUGUGCAGAUUUCAUAUCAAUGCGUGUGGGCGUCCUCAUUAAUGAAUUAUUCAUGUUGCCAUGUUCAAAAAUCCAUGUACACCUAAAGUUUAAGUAUAGCUGCUACAGUUCAGUUUUGUGAUGAUUUUUUGAAACAUUACAGCACAUUGAGUUAACUAUAAUUUGGCUUAAUGUGAUGCCUGAACCCCAUGACAUCAAUGAUGCACAAUACUUAUCUAAGUAUUUUUCUUAUUUUCCCUUUUUUCGUGAGCACAACUUGGAGAACUGCAAUUGUUUUUGUUAUGUCUUUCUCUUUGUGAAAAUGACAAGCCUUGAAGAAUCAGAAAGACUGCAAAAGAAUAGAGGGUUUACCAAAACUUGUUCAUUGGAUGCCACAUAGCUUCUGUUGUUGACAUGUCUUCGUCACAAGCCUGUUCCUCAACCAAUAUGCUUCACUUUCAGAACUUGUUCAUUAGUGCACAUAGAGGGUUUACCAAAACUUGGUCAUUAGUGCACAUAAAGACGACAAGUGUAUUCCAUUACGUUUGGUACCAAGAAUACAUGAUUGCAUGGAACAUGCUGAUUAAUGAGAAAUAUUGUUGACAUUACAUUGCUAAUGCCAACAACCCUGCAUAUUAAAUGUGCACUGAUGUAGCAACACUGAAGUAUCAGUUACAGUGCUUCUAUGCCCUCUGACCUUACCUAUUGAAGAGAAGAAAAGACAAAAGGCAUGCUGAAACAAAGUUGUGGUUGUGCACUUAAUGGCAUCUUUCUAAUUUAAUUUCGAGUUUGCCUGUCAGUGAUGGAUGGACGAUAGAUUUGUGCACAACUAGACUAUUGAUUUGUCCUUACUCUAUGGAAUCUUUUUUAAGAUGGUCUGUUUUGUCCUUGAGGCAAUGAAAUCUGAAUGUAAUUAAACUGAAGUUCCUACCUGUAAAUCAGUUAACUACUUGCCUAGUUCGAUUAUAUCUAUCUGAAGCUUUACAGUUCUAAACCUGUAAAUCAUUAACUACUCGCCUAGAUCAAUUACAGGUACUUGAAGCUUUUACAGUUCUAAACCUUUGCAUGCACACGUUCAUUUAAAAAGACUAGAUCAACCUAAGAGGAAAUAGGGUAACAUUUUAUUAAGAAGAAAAUAGGCACCCAAAUUUGUCUCGACGAGACUUGAAUCCGCUGAACUAGCUCAGCUUCGUUUGCACACAUUUGUGACUGUUUACUAAAAUAGUUCCGUACAAUUGAAUGGCAUACAAACUAUUGUAGCCUCUGUCAUGAACUGUAUGUAGUUUGUCCAUAUGUGACUUGUAUAUAUUACAGAUUUACGAUGCUUGAUGUUUUACAUCUGUCAUAUGUUCCUGCAAUCCAACUUGACUUGCUGAUUAUCACCAUUCUACUUUAACCUAUUAUAUCAUUUUUCUUUUAAUUUUAUUAGCUUUUCACCAUGAAAAUGAAUUACAAAUGUUGCAGAAGAGCUCUGCUAAUCAAUCACUGCACAAACGGAAACAUUCUUUGGAUCCCGGAGCUGCACUUGCAGUCGAAGAAAUUACAGUACAAAGUGAAGCAUUGACUGAUAACAAAAGCGCACAAAUGGUUUCAAAUUCAUUUUUUUCAGACAGUACACCGCUUGAUGUGCACAUUUCUCAGGCUGAACAUCAUAGUAACGAAGAUUUGGCCGCAACUGUUGUCCAGUCUGCGUUUCGAGCGUUCUUGGUACGUUCUUGGUACGCUAUCUUUUCAAAACAUUCUGUUACCUAGUGAUAUACACUAAGUAUAGUAUAUAUUGGUUAUGGUUGUAUUGAUUUUCAUCGAUUUAUGAAAAUAAGCAACUUGGAAACUUUCAGCUAGUGUCGUCGAUAUGAAAUAAGAUGAUGCAAGAAAAAGGAGAACUUUUUAGGGAGUUCUACCAGUUUGGGUUACUAGGAAGUCCUAUUAUUCUUCAAUGGUCAGGAAAGCAUAAACACUAUGAUACUGAGUACUGAGGCUUCCUUUACCAGCUUUAACAGUAUUUAGGUGCAAGUUUUGUCAUUUUAGUAAAGCACCGGUUAAAGAAUCAACAACUUUAGUAAAACAUUUUAGUUCAUGAUUUAAUUUCGCUUCUGGUUUUGGAUUUCUGAUUUUUUUUAUUCAUAUCUACCAGGCUAGGCGUGCUUUACGAGCUUUGAAAGGAAUAGUUCUACUUCAAGCCCUUAUUAGGGGCCAUUCUGUUAGAAGGCAGACAGCAGAGACGCUUCAGUGUAUGCAAGCGCUGGUAAAAGCAAAAGCUCGUGUCCGAGCAAGACAAGUUCGUGUUGCCUUAGAAAAUCAAGUGGCACGGAAAAAGAUUCCUGAACAAGAUGAUCAUGAGAACCAUGUCCGAGAAGUCGAGGUAAGAAACAUAGUCUCGAAGUCGUAAUGCUGCUAGAUGUCUCACUUAAAAAUGGAAGGACAGAUCUAGUGCUGGCGUCUCCUACAUGAGUGGGGUCUACAGAAGGAAUAACCGAGGCAAGUCUUAGCUCUGCAUUUUUGCAGAGGCUGCAUCGAACCCAGGACUGCGUCAGUCCUGUCCCUCUGCCAGAUGUCUCACUUGUUCCAUAUUUUUGCAUCGUUUCCUUGGCAAUACCUUUUCCCCUAGGAACAUAUAUUGCAUGAAGGGAGGGGGUCUGUGCAUGAAUCUUCUUUGAUCCUUUGUUGUUGUUGUGUGUGUGUGUUUUGUUUUUUACCCGAGUACAUUUUAUGCUUCAUAGGUUUCUGCAUUUAUUCUUCAUUAUCUAAUUCUGGCAUUUUUCACCUUGGCCUACAUUGGCCCUGGGGUGAUGCGAUCAUGCGAUGUCUUUUUCCUCGGUCACGCAGAAGAUAAAAAUGGGGUAGAGAGACCCUACAAAAACAGAACUACCUACUCACAAAGCAUCCAACAACACAUUCACAAACAUACCCAAAGGGAAAACAAUAGAAAACAGAAAUGCCUAAAAACCAGGGGGAGUGACCUCAAGAAAAAAAAGUUUAGGCACUAUCAAGCAAAUGGGCAGUCAACAAGGUGAUGCCUUUUUCUUCAGCUAUACCCCAGAGCCUCAUUUCCUCAACGACCAAGAUGAGGUGAUGCACAAUGUCAGUUCGAUGGGGCUGUGGAGAGUAAUUCAUAGUAAUUGGGUUGGUGGAUUAGGGUCAGGUAGUAUUUUCUUAUGAGUUGACUUGUUCAUAACCACUGCUUCUGACUCAUGAGGACAGACGACCUUGCAAUUGCAAUUAAGGUCGAGAAAGGCACUGAACACCAGCUGCCCAGGAUGUAAUUGUGUAUAUCUCUGAAAGCAGUUUACUCAGUGAGAGACCUUUUUUGUGUGUGGGAACAAGGGUUUGAUACCUG
rnacentral:lncRNA from 1 species